GUCCCUUUAGUACAGAGAUUUCUCCAGAUCAUUAUUCUGAAACUCUUGAACUGUUGGCUCACUCUUCAGAGUCCGGAACCUUCUCCAUCUUUCCCUCUGACAGACUCCGCCUCUCUGAAUGUCCUUCUUAGACCUAGUCAUGUGACUAACCUGUUGGAGAGCCACCUCAUUAGUUGGAGAUGUUCCUCCAGAUGUUUGGUUCUCCCUUUAAAACAACCUUUUGAAACAAAUAGCAAAGUUGAUGAUUUGCGAACUUGAAAAUCACAGACUUAUUUUGAAUGUGGAACUAUUCCUUUACUUAAAGUCAUAACGAUUGUAGAGAUUGUUGAUGAUUAUUAACCUCGUUUCUAUGGUGAUCAUGGUCCUAUAGUGCGAUCUCCACAAAGUGAAGAGAAAAAAGAACGGAAAAAAUCUGUUCAUCCUAGCAGGUGCAGGGCUGCAAAAACAUUGGCCAAUGGCAGCCAUCCGUCCCGGACAGCUCCUAUUGGUCAAUCUCCUGCUCCGCUUCUCCAUCCAAUCACCUCGCUGUGAUCAACACACCCCUCUCCUGUUACUCUGACUCGUCUCCUCCCACUCUCCCGGCCCUCCUCGGAGCUCUGAGUGGCUAAAAGUAGCGUAGCAGCUUAGCUACAGGAGCUGUGAUAGAGAAGGACGCAAAAAAAGACCCACUUCUGCUCUCCCCACUGCCAAAAGUGCAAAGAAAACGCAAGCCGACAGAAGAAAGGGCGGAGUGGAAAAGGAAAUGUGACCAAGUGAGGAAUCUAACUGGAAUUAAUAUCGGGUCAUCCUUGGAGCGGUGGAGAAAGCUCCGCCAGGAUUUGGUCCUGAAAACAGACGCAGAGACAGCAGAGUUUUUGUUGAACAGGUAAUUUUUAUCGCCUUUAUCGUGGCACACGUUACAUAAAUAACUCUUAUUAGUCUCUGCAAUGUCAACAUGGUAGCUGCCCGGGCAGCUGCAGAUGGUGCUCGCUAGCAGAGCUGGCGUUUACUGCCUCUAGUCACUAACAAUCCAACAUGGUGAAUCCUAUUUGAAGCUACCAUAGGAUCUUCUGGCGGCCAGCUUCUUGCUUUGCCAGAGGGGGUGUGUCGUGGGGAGGGUGAUACAGGUUCGGGGGGGAGUUAUCGUGGAGCACAGAGGGGAGAGGUUUGUCUGUUGGGGGUGGGACGCUUUUUUCAAAUCUGCCUCAACGGCUUUUUUCAACUGAAGCUCAGAUCAUCAACCAGGACUUUAAGUGGUGUGACUCUUGGUGUGUAUAUGGACAGAGAAACUGAGAGAAGAAGUUCUUACGUUUAUCAUCUCAAGAAACUCCUGCUCUAGUGAGACUAUCCAAACAUCAUAAAGGCCACUUGGUUGUAAUAACGAUCUCACGACGCACAGGAAUUCAAAAGUACAAAUUCAUGUUCAUUUGUGUGUGUUUACGAGAGUCUUAGCCUCUGGGCAUUAUAGUCUGGGGUUCUUAAUGCCUUUUUUAUGACACCAUUUGGGGCUCUCUGUCAUGUGACAUUGUCUGUCUCUGUCUGUUAGGAUUUACGGCCACGCUUCAUAAAUCAGCUGACAUCAGUGAACACCAUUAAAGCAUGUCACAAACACACCAGGACGACACCUCCACACAGCCAGGCCGAUAAGCGCUGAGAAAUACUGAUAGAUGUGUCUGCGUGAAGAGGACGUCGGCACUGAAGAGCUCGCCGACGCCCUGAAGCUAAAACUUUAAAGAUUCUCAGAGUCAUAAAAACUGAAAUACAGCUCAGGACAGGGUUGUUAUAUUGUCAUCAUAACAGCUGUGGGCCAUCAUAUGAUGGCACUUCAUGUCUCUGGGCAGAAGUGGACGUUUCUGACAUUUCAGCAUCACCAGCAGUUCGCGCCGGCGUCUUUUUCAGAGCAGCUAGACAGGUGACCAUGUCUUCAGAUCAUGAAAGAAAAGAAAAGCACCCCUCCAGAUAUGUCUGGGACAUCAUCACUGCCACUUCCUGUCUCAUUACGUUCUCCAGAUGAGUCUUCUUCAGUCUCAGUCACAGUUUCACUGUAAAGUUACACAGAGGCUGCAGUUUGGAAUAUGUUAGCGGUAUAAACCCCCAAAAUUAGACCAAACUCUUUUGAUCAAAUGGGUUAAAUUUGCUGAUAUAACAGCAAAAGGAAAAUUCCAGUGACUGUCAACGGUCAGUGCGUUUACAUGCACAGCUUAAUUGGAAUAAACUCAUAAUUCGUUUUUUUCUCCGAAUCAGACUUCUCUGAUGUGAAAAUUAAAUUAUUGACAUGAACGUGUCCUCCGCAUAACUAGGGGACAAUUUGGGUCUUUUCAGCGGCACUUUUUCCGGACCUUUUUAAAGGUGUCUCCAUUCCUCAUUUUGCGACCGUCCAAGUACUUUAAAAUGCCAGGACGGAAAAGCAUAAGGGCACCCUCCUUGUUGUUGAAAGUUCUCUAAAUGAUAGCGCCGCUUCUUCUCUUGUGUUUUUGUUCCAGGGUUAUGGGGGCAUGGCGCACGCACACAUGUAUUGUCCUAUCAUACUCGGACUACGCUGGUUACAUGGUAGAGAAAAUCGAAUUCCAAUUGCAUUAUCUGGGUGUCUUCAUUGGAGUUCGUCAUCGUUUUCUUCCGCUUAUCCUCGUCCGGGUCGCAGGGGCAGCAGCUUCAGGAGGGAAGUCCAGACGGCCCUUACCCCAGCCACUUCCACCAGCGCCUCUGGGGGGGAUUCCCAGGUGCUCCCAGGCCAGGUGAGAGAUAUAGGGCUCUAUUUUCGUGUAUGCCGGUGAGGCGACGGAGGGUGGCAGACCCCGUGCAGUUGUAUUUUCGUCUGGCGGAGCCCGGCGUACAGCCAGUUUGGUAUUUUCGUGGACUGAGCCCAAUGCAGCACUUACAGUGACACUUGUUGAGGAGCUGCCUUCUGUCGCCAUCAUGUGGCAUUACUGUCUUCAGACAUCUCUUGAUCUCUUUGACUACUUCACGAAAAUAGUAAUACGCCUCGCCGGUGGUGGAUUUAAAGGCAAGGAGAGGAGCUUAUGUGAUUGGUGAAAACAGGUCUCGGCUGUGUUAAACCCACUCCACGCCCUCCCUUGCUACGACUUACGCCGCUGGGAGGAGCUGAGUUAGGGAGGGGGGAUACUUACGCCAGGCUACGCUGCUCACCAAAAUACCAAAAUGUGCUUGGGAACGCCUUGUCGGCGCGGCGGACUUGACGUACGCCACGCCUGCGGCACAUCUCUGGCGAGGCACGAAAAUAGAGCCCAUAAUCCCUCUACCUGGUCCGGGGCCAGCCCUGAGGUCUCCUCCCAGUGGGACAUGUCUGGAACACCUCUAACGGGAGGCGUCCAGAAGGCAUCCUAACCAGAUGCCUGAGCCACCUCAGUGGCUCCUCUCGACGCGGAGGAGUAGCGGUUCUACUCUGAGCGCCUCCUGAGUGUCUGAGCCCCAUUCCCUAUCUCUAAGUCUGAGCCCAGCCACCCUGCGAAGAAAACCCAUUUCAGCCACUUGUAUCUGCGAUCUUGUUCUUUCGGUCAUCACCCAAAGUUCAUGGCCAUAGGUGAGGUUCAGCACGAAGAUCUACCGGUAAAUCGAGAGUCUCGCCUUUCGACUCAGCUCUUUCUUUACCACAACUGAUCGGUUAAGCGUCUGCAUCACUGCUGAUGCCGCUCCGAUCUGCCUGUGGAUCUCCCGCUCCACCCUGCCCUCACUCGUGAACAAGAUCCCGAGAUACUUGAACUCCUCCACUAAUUGGAGUUCUCCAACUCCAAUCAGAGUUCUCAAACUCUGAUUAUAGUCAGACUAAGGUGUUUACAUGCACUUCAGUUGUCCGGACUGAAUCGGAGUAAGGCGAUAAUUCGGUUUCCUUGAGUGUCAUGGAAACAUACUGGAUGAGUUACACUCUGGCAUUAUGAAACCAAUAAAGGAUAAAAUUAUUAAUCAUGGGUCUCUAGUUUCUAAUAUGAAAUUUUUAAUGCAGAUUUCUGUGAGUCUCAGUUUCACUGUUGACAGUAAGUCACUCAGAGGCUCCAGUCCAGCUAGUCAGAGGUAAAAACUAGAAAUGAAACUGUUUCUCGUAAUGAAUGGCUCUUAGCUUGUUAAAAUUAGAUGCUGAUUCCUGGUAAGUCUCAGUUUUACUGUAUUUGAUUGGUUACACCAGAAACAACCCUUUUAAAGUUUAACUUUAAAAAAGAAUCUGGUUUCUUGUCAUUUUGGAUCUUGAAAAAGAAGAUUUAAGACUUGUGAAAACUCUCAGUGUCAUUGUUAAUUGUGAGUCACACAGAGGCUUCCCUCUUGGUCUGAACCUACAAAAGAAAUUGAUUUUCUUUCUGGAGCUUACUUUAGUGGUAUGAACCUGAAAAUAUGCCAGUUUUAUUUUUAAUUCCUUGUGAUUUUAGGGUCUCAUGUUUGCUGAUAUAAUGUAAUGAUACAGAGUAUCAGUUUUACUGUGAAUACUGAAACACACAGAGGCUUCAGUCUGACUAACAUUAGAGGUGGAAACUGAAAUAAAAAAAUGUUUUUUUGUGAUUUUCUUGCCAUUUGUAGAUCCUCUUUUGUUGAUUAAAAAUGUUAUUCUGCUUGCUGGUGAGUCUCAGUUUCACUGUAAAUUGUAUGUAACACCAUUAGCCUUACUUUGGCUUACUUUAGUGAUAUAAUAUUGUUGUGCUGUUGUAAUCAACAGCUCUGAAGUCUCCUGAUAUAAAACUAUAAUCCAGAUUUCUGUUGAGUCUCAGUUUUACUGUAAAUCAUAAUCUACAAAUCAGCUAUGAAUUGGCUACAUCAACCAGUAUGGACCUAAAGGACUCAAGUUUUUCAUCCUGAUGCAGUUUGGUCAAAGGUUUAAAGUCGAUCUUUGUCAGAAAACUUGAAAACAUCUCUGGGAUAAAGCCGAAGGGUCCGGAUCUGCUCACAGGUGCCGUCACUCUCACCAUCGUUGGGUCUCCUUUCUGAACAUGCUGCUGACUGUGAGUUACAUCUGAGUGAACUCUGGAUCAUGUGGGAGGAGGGGGGUGUGAAUAAUUCAGACAGAUUAUAUAUUGAUGUCGCUCAGUCAUAAAGAUUGCAUCACAUGUACGGAGCAUAAUUUAGAAUUGUAUAACUGAAAACAUUCAAACAGAUUGAGCAUCAUUUAGUUCCACCUCAGCACAGCUGAUACCUGCUCUUUGUAGAGAUUCCUUGUAUGUUUUCAUGGCUUUGUGUAUUAAAUAAUGGAGCAGGACUCACAUCCAGGAGCAACGCUGUUCACAAAGAUGAGCGGGAAGUGUCGAAACACCCCAGAGGUUCAGCUAAAGAGGAGAAAACGUCAAAACACAUCAACGUGACGUUUAACUGACUGACAGUACAGUAGGAAGAACAUAGUUCAGGUUUUACUUAUGUAAACAGAUAAAUAAUUCAAUAAUCAGGUUUUUUUUUUCUUCUGUACAUCCUCCCUGACAAACUGAUAUCAGUCUGAGGUUGAAGUGUGAACGAUGGAGUCAGAUACAGGGCAGGGAGAGGUGAAGAAAACUCGACAAAAAGCAGGAAAACAGCAGAAACUGUUGAAAAUAAAGACAUGAACAUAUCUGCUUAUAUAACAGACACAGAAACAGGAAUAUGAGGAUAAUUAGAAUUAUCCUGAUCCAGUUAUUGAAGGGAUCAAUCGGUCUCACCAAAUUAACAAGAAGAGAAAAACCUGCAGUUCCUCUAACGUUCACUAGAGGCUAUCUCCAACAGUGGGUGAAUCCCAUAGACUGUAUGUAGAAUGGACGCCGUCUGCCUCCUGGAUGGGUGAAGCCACUCCGAGAACAGCACCCUCUGGUGACGGGCUGCAGUAUAAGCAGUGCUUAAUUUGUGCUGGAGCAAGCCGGAGCACACUCCGGGACCUCUUUGAUCGGAUCCGGGACCUAUUUCAGCCGCUCUGGCACCUGUUUGAUCUGCUCCGGGACCUUCCCUGUCAAUAAAUAAACUGUGGUUUUAUCUAUGUUUUUUUUUUCUGUGUUUUAUUUCUCUCUGAAGUGACGCCUGAUGGCUUAUUUCUUAUGCGUUUUACUCAGAAAUUGGGUAAAACAGGGGUAAAAAGUGAUUUAUGCCGUCACGUGUCACAACGUAAUGCGCAUUGGGAUGGUUCUGUUUCCGCACCGGCACUGCGCGCAAAUAGGUAAACAACAUGGUGUGCCAAAUGUUGCUGAAAAUGUUAUACUACGUGGGUGCGCAAAUUAAGGUGAAAAAGACAAUAAAACGCGUUAAAAACCCGAGAAUAAAAGCAUAUUUUUAUGGCGCGCUUCAGGGGGGGACCCGGCACCUCCUGGAGGACAAAUUAUGCACUGAGUAUAAGUCAUAAAUCCCUCCUCCUUAUGGAACUGUGGACAAACUUUAUAAAUUAAUAACACAGAAAAUACAUUUUUCACCCCCCUGUUGCGAUGUUGACAUGUAGUUACUAAGGCCCGACCGAUAUGGAUUUUUUUUUUAACAAAUGGCUGCUUUUAAGCCUUUCAAACACUUCUUCAAAGAAUUGAGUGCAAACAGUUAAGUUAACUUCCAACUCUUUUGCUCAACAUCCUCAUUACUCACAUCCCUCAAAACAAACAAUAAAAAACAACAGUAAAAGAAUGAGGUAUUUAGUAGCGGGAAAAUAAACGUUUUCAAAGACGUUCGCUGUUUGAGCCGAAUGUCAUCACAGCGACUCUCACACCGAAUGUGUAUAAUGCUACUGCGCAAUGUUGGUUUCAGGAAAUGGAGAAAAAACGCGGAAUUACCGAGCGCUUUUGGGCUUCAAAUCCGUACACAUGUGGAAGGUGGAACCAAGUUGUCCAGAGUAUAUACAGUCUGUCGUCAACCCCCAUAAAGCCCUGUAAAAACAUGUCUAUUUGUAACAGCAGAAAACAACAUAUGGAACACAAUUCUGGACUUCAGAGCAAAUUCUUUUAUUUCUAAAAACUUUAAAAGGUGAUUUUUUACGACAUUUGCCCCCUCAGUUUUGAUUACGAUAAAGGCAAAGGUCGCAGAUCUUCAAAAACAAAUUAAUCUGCCAGUAAAAGUCAGAAAUCUUGUGGAUCCUCCUAUCGUAUUUCAUCACUGAAAAUAAUUCAAGUUUUGGUACUCAUGUUAAAAUAAUAACACCAGUUUAAGGCCUGAAUCUUCUGUUUCCAACCAAAGUCAUCAAAGGCCAGAUUAUCAGAUGGUUCUACAGAUUAAAAUCCUGAAUAUCAAACAUGUUAAAUAUUUCAGAAACUCCUACAUGUAGAGGGAACCUCAUGACGGCGGAUUAUGGUCUUUGUUCAGUGUCAUGUGGAGGAAAACGAUCGCUAUUAUCGAAAAGAUUCUGGGUUGAAAUGCUCCCUUGCUCACCCCUCCUCAGGUGAAACUAUGGUGACCUUAAAGGACACAAAGUAUAAUCCUCUAUUUGAACUGCAGUGCCAACAAUUUUGGUCUCAAUUGAAUUUUGGAUGGUUGGCCUUUAAAAUUCAGUGAUAUUAUUCAUCCUUUAUACAGGAGCAGCAUUAAUCUAUAACAUAUGAGAACCAUGACGUGCAAAAGAAAAUACAGAUAUAUUUAUCCUAUAAAAACACAAACUCAUCCUGAGGUGUCUCCUUAAAACUACAGAGUCUAAAUAAACUUCUGGAGUGAUUUCUUUCACCAAGUGUCUAGCAGCAGAAACUCCUGAUCGACGGCUUUCUCGGUUGUUUUUCCUCUUUUCCUUUUUUUUCCAACUCUCCAUGUUUUUCUCUCCUUCGCCGCCCAUGGAGCUCUUGUGGAGGAGACUCCUCCUGCCUGAGGCGACAGCUCCAGCUGCAGACAGCUUUUAAGGAUAGUGAGGAGAGUUGGCGGGAGGUGGCGGAGGGGGAGGAGGCUGGGCUAAUGUGGAAUAGCUGGAAGUGCCAGGUGACUGCUGGGUGACACACACUGUGGUUUUCAGACGUGGUUCACAACCACGGAGCCGAUCUCACAUGAAAAAUAUCCAGAAUUAAACCCGAGGAGGUGGCAUGAAGUGCGGAGGAAACACAGAGGUUAGUCGUCGACAUACAGGAAUAUAUAUGAACCCACAUUUAUACAGUUAUUAUCACAACAUCAGCUCUCACAACAGUAUUUAAUCAACAACACUGUUACUUUAGGAUGUCAUUAUAUUACAAUAAACCUUCUGUUUAUAUGACUGUCUCCACUUCUUAUCACUCCAUACUUUACCUAAUUAUUUAUAAAACAAGAUUAGGCCUAUGCACCAGUUUAUUAAACUAACAAACAAACAAACAAAAAAAAAACGUAAAGGAUGUUUUUUUUUGUAGAUUUGCCUCCAUAAUAAAUAAAUUGUUCAUAUUUUAGGCCCAAAAAUCUGAAACGGUCAGAUCGUGUCUAAGUCAUAGCUCUGGAUGAUGGUAACUGCUAUAAUAAUCCAAUGCUCUGCUAUCUGUAUCUAAACUAGAUAUAAAUAAAUAAAUUAGAUAGAAUAUAGGUAGGAUAUGAAUACAAAGUUUUUUAUUUAUUUCUGUUAGUUUUAUAAAUCAGUUCACCAGGUAAACAUGGAGGAUAUUUAGUUAAUCUUUUAAAGGACAUGUAAAAUAGAUUAAUAAACUGGUUUUUGGUCUUACUCAUAAAUUCAAAUGUUAAAGAGGGAUUAUCAUAAAUUGGUAACACUUUACAAUAACCAUAAUUUAUAAACGGUAAAUAGAUAGUUUAUUAAUGUUGAAUCAUCAUUUAAAAACACCAUAUAGACCAAUUAUAAAUGGCAAAUAGAUAGUUUAUUAAUGUAAGUUUAUAGUUACUUUACCAUUAACAUGCAGUGAAAUUAUGAUUAAUAAUUUAAAUUAAUUAUUAAUGGACUAUUUAUUAAAGGUUUAUAUAGGGUUGAAAUAUUAGUUGUAAAGCAUCUAGAUAAAAAUGUGUGUCAGUAGCACUUUGUAAAUGAUUAAUAAGUGGUAUUUAAACCAUCUUAAACAUAACUUACAUGGUUAUUGUAAAGUUAGGGUUAGGUUUUAAAAAUUGCAAAAUUUACAAUUUAUUAUUAGUCUAUAUACUAUUUAUAAAUGAUAAUUAAAGAUUAAUAAAUGAGCUGCUUACCAUUUAUAAGUUAUGGUUAUUGUAAAGAGUUACCCAUAAAUUUUGUUCCGGACCCUAUACUUCCUCUCUUUAAUAUCUUUCCGUGAUUAUCAGAUCAGCCUCCUGUUUCUGGUGUAUUUAAAUAUUAUUUCAGCCUCCAUCUGAAAGGGUUCGUUUCAGCGUCUGUCUCUUUAGACUAUUAUGAAUUUAUUCUUGCAAUCGAAGAGUUCAUAGAAGUGCAUUCUUUGCCACAGCGUCAACAGGCAGAGGUGAAAUAUGACAGAUUUAUUUCAGUGGAUUAACACGAUAUGAGGUGUAUGAUCAGAUUUUUUUUUCAGAUUAAACAAAUAUAUAACACAGCUGGGAUUAAAUAAUCCUGAAUUAACACUGAAAAAAGGAAUGUUUAAAACUGCAGUUCCACUAACAUCCACUAGAGGCUGGUUCCAAAAGUGGGUCAACUUUCAUAGAGCCCAAUGUCAAGAUGUCUAACUUUGCAGAAAUUUUGCUUUAAUGGCAAAUUUUCUGAUUUUUAUUUUUAUUUUAAUGGUACAUCAACUUAGACUUUGCGUUACCAGGGGCACGGCGGGUAAAACUGUUGUAUUUGGGUCUAAAGUAGCUGGGUGAUGUGCUGCUCUUUUGCUAAUUUCUAAAUUAAACUGGAGUUAGACGGAGUUGACAUUUCUGAUCUGGACACUUGUAUCUUUAGACUUUAAACCUCCUCCUCAAAAAAGUCACGUAACCUGCGUCUCUGUUUUUGUUUUUCAUGGAUCACGUUCACAUCACAAAGAUUUUUAUGCCUCAUUCUCACCGUUUAUUUCUAAAUCUACAAGGUUGGUUAUUUUAUGUGUCACUCUCUGCAGCUUGUCGUACCCUUUUACCUCUUUUUUUUUGAUUGUUGGUAGAAGAGUGAGAAAGACAAAAGUAAGAUACAAACACAGACAGAAAGAAGUGUGUGUGUUGUGUUGUGUUGUGUGUGUGUGUGUGUGUAGUAAUCUAAUUGUGUGCGGUUGAAACAAAUAAGGAUGUUAUCCAGUUAGAAAGUAGCUGUUGCGCUUGGGGGUCUGCUGUGACAUGGUUAAAUGUCAGACUCCAUCUCUGCAGAGACAAAUGGGGAAAGACUGGGAGGGGAAAGAAAAACACAGAAAAAGGCAAAUGAUGGCGGCUUUGACUUUCUGUUGGCGUGUUUAAAAUGCAGAAAGGACUUUAAUGAAGUGACCCCCGGUUCGAUACUUCAAUCUGCAUUUCCAUUUUUUCACUUUAGUCAUCUCUUCAGCUGCUGGAGUGUUGAAUAACAGGUUUGGAAAGAUAACAACAGCAGGAUAGUCCUCCAGGAUAUUUUUAGAGAACAGCCCCGAGUUUCUCCACUGUAAGGUGAGUGGCUGGAGUGUGUGUUGGAGUGUGUGUUGGAGGGCCGUUCAGCAGCACCAGGAGCUCAUAAUUGAUUUUGGGAUGUGGUUGAGCGUGGUUAUUUACAUGGGCGGCUGCUCUCGGAGCGCCCACUUGUUAGUCAUGCAUUUAUGCUGGCGGCGAGCGGAGCGAUGGUGGUGAGACGUUUCCUGCUGAGGCUGCAGAUCUGAGGGUCACAGAGCCUUGCGCCGCUCGCACAUUUCUCCGGAGGUUUUUCUGGGUGUUUGGCAGUUUUUCAACUUGACUGGUUGUCAUCGGUGUUUACGCUGCUUGGCUCAGCUUCGACCAAAGAUGCAGAUUAAACAUUAAAGGAGCUGUUGUGUGGGUUAGUCAAUGUACACACACACACACACACACGCACACACACACACACACACAUGUGUGCGCCAGGCCGCUGGAUUUCAACAUCAAACAGUUUUCUUUCAUUUAAAGUCACUUUAGGAUAGACGGCUUAGGCAGCAAAAUUUGACUCAGUUCACAAACACACAAAUAAAUCUGUAAAUUAACUCAAACUCCUCGUUGUGUAUUUAUCGGAAAAAGUUUCUCUAAUGGUUCAGUUUUUCUGACAUUUUACCAAAAACAUGAAAAACUGGAUCCUAAUGAGUCCAUUUUCAGAGCUGAUCCUCAUUCAGAUUAAGUUUCAACCUCCAGGUUAGAAAUGAAAAAACUGCAGCUCCUCAAUCGUCCACUAGAGGCUGAGCCCAAAACUGAGUCAACUCUCAUAGAGCCCUAUGUUAAAACGUUUACCUCUACAUACUGGUAUGAUAACAGUUUUUAAUUCUGUGGCUCAUUUCUCAAACCCUGACCACAGAAGGCAAAUUCAUGUAGAGUUCACCGAAGUGAAUGAUAUGAUUGCUGCGUUCCAGUUGUACUCGGAAGUCGGAAUUUCCAAGCCUUGAGUGGGAAAUUCAUCUGGAACACCCCCCUGAAGUUGGAUUUCUGAUUCGGAAAGUCAGACGAUCCUAACCAACCCCGACUUGACGACAAAGUCAUAGUCCAAGAUGGCAGCUCAGUGCAUCAACAGUAACCCUCAAUUUUCAACGCAUCCGGAACAGCUCCGAUCCGGAAUGGGGGCCAUUUUUUGCCAUCCGCCAAUUCUGAUUGGAUCCAUUUGUGAGGUGAAAAUAAAAUUAAAUAUAAGAAGUAUGUGCAAUGCAGACUAAAAAUAAAAAUACUAGAUAUAUAAAAUAAAUACAGACUAAAUAUACUAAACAUCCAAAGAGAGACAAAAGUAAGAUAUGAAAAACGUGGGCUAUUGAAAUGAGUAAUAAAUAUGAAAUGAGUAAUAAAUAUAAAUAUGAAAUGCGAAAUAUAAAAUACACGGGAGCUGCUGUAAAAGGCUGCCACCUCGCGCUGCGCCAAUGCUCACCUGUGUAAGCAGUAGAUUGUGUCCUUCCAGAGGAGGAAAUCUACUUCUAGAAUCAGCAUCUCCUCAUCCAUGGUGUCAUCAGGGUGAAAUGACGUCUAAAAACCUUUCACUUGUUUGCGGUUGAAAUUGGGGGUAACAGUGAAAGCUCUCAUAAUAGCACUUCUGUUUUGUUUUAGUGAAAUUAAAUAAGUUGUAUAUGCUGUACUACCCAACACCUAACUGUAAACACGGUGCUAUGGUGUUUGUAAGGGUAAAAUACCGGGUUAUGUUUAUUUACAACUUAGAUGACAACAACUGAUAACCGCCAACGGCUGACAAUUGUAAACAACAGCUAACAAUGGCUAAUAGUAGGCUUUCAUCUGGGUUUUUCAACUUGUUUACUGGAAUGACAUCAACUCGGGUGUAAAGUCAUUCCCAGCUCCGACAGCCGACUUCUGAGGAAACUGUAAUGCAGUAUAAGGCUAAAAUGAUGUAGAAAAAGGGGCGUAGCACUUUGCAUCAGCAUUGUUUAUUUAAUGUCAUUUAUUAACCCUUUUUAAACUCAUCAUCUCCCAGUCAACCGAUUAUGUUAUUUACCAAAACAAUCAGCAAACAGGUUAUCAAUAAGUUAAAGGUGGGGUGGGCAGGAAUCCCCUAAAGAAGCAUCUGUUUCUGUGGUUUUUAUACAAAAAAUCUUUUAAUAUCAGUCAAUAUUUAUCAGUUAUUGAUGACAUUUGGUAAUAUAACGAUAUCUCUGUGUUCUUUAAUGUCUGUGUAGUCAACAUUUUCACAUUUUUGAGCAGUCUGCUCUUUCAGACUGUAAACAAAGCCGUUCUCCACCUCCCCCAACCUGAUUGGUUGUGAGGCAGACGCUGCUCCCUCGUGUCAUUCACGAGUCCAAACAAAGUUAGCGUGCUACAAUAUCGGACAGUAGAAACCAACCAGAAAGUAUGGAAAAUUGUCUGUGUCCUCCUUUGGCCACGACUGCAAACACAAACAAGAAAACGAAGUAAAUACUGGAGACUCUGGCGGAAUAACGGGCGCAUAAAAAGGAGGUAGACCAGACAAGAGCUAAAAAGCCGGGUCAACAUAAACAAUGGGGGACGCUUCGGGAUGUUGUUGACCCUGUAACCUUUCUGCUGGACAGGUAAACUGCUUUAACAAAGUAAGCCAAGUGUCUGUAACAGAAGUGUUUCUUGUCAAACGGGACCUGCUGUAGCGUGUUGUAGCGACGCUAAACUGUUGACCUCUGGUCCUGGUCUAUGUCACUUUAUCCUAGUUGUAGAAGUCCUACAAACAUUGUGUUUGCUGGUAGUCUGUUUGCAUCUAGAGAAACACCAAUGCUUUUUACUUUCACCUUGACUGGGCCCCAUUUGUAAUUAUCUGAAGUAUUUAUCUGCAUUAUAUCUGAAUUUAAUUGGAACGAUAUGAGCAAGCAGGAGUGUCUGUUUGUGGGCGGGGCUUGCUGGAGCAGCGAGGGAGGGGAGAGGAGGAGCUGAGGGGGAAACUGGUUGGGAGGGGUAGAGUUUACAUUCAAGAUUUCUCCUAAAAACUGGAACUUCCUCUGAUCCUGACUACCCCACCUUUAACAGGUUUUUUACAUACAUUAGAUAGCUUCGUCUCAAAUAUUACAUCCCUGCGAACGUCCCAUCAGGCGAUCGAGGCAAACACAGUCCUCCGAUUUUUUAUUAUCUGAGAAACUAAUUCUCUGUCACUUGUCAGAUGAACGUAGAAAAUCAACUCCAUGUUAUCACACUGUCUGUCCAACAUUUGCUAAUCCUUCUUCCCUCUGCAGCUUCUCCAUCUCCUCAAACACGCCAACAAACCAAGAGGGCGGCCUCCAAAUCGCCAAACCUGACGCUUCACAAAGACUGAAGAAGAACAGAGGCAGUCAGAGCUUGAACCAGCACACAGAUUCGCUCAUGAAGGAGAAUGAGCUGAUCUUUCACGCCAACAUUUUCAUUGACAGAGUGAUCCCCGCUCACCAGCUGCCCUUAUUAGAGACCGUCUUCAAACACACAAGAUGGCAGCACCUGUCCUGUGGGAUGGUUUGGCGUUGUGUCGGUGUGGUGGGAGGACGGAGGACAUGUGGUGGUUGAGGUGGACCAUCUGCACUCACUCAGUGUACCUGUUUGUUCUGCUGACAAUCUCAUCCCUGCAGAGAAGCACAGACAGAAAAGAGAGAGAUCUUCUCUGUUAUUAUGUCCCCGCCGCUGACAGGCUUUGGGUUUCUCUUCUCUACCUCUUCAUCCUCUCCUCAUCGGUUUCACGUGUGACAUCAAUCUUUGACUCUUUUCAAAUCCAAUCCUCUGACCUGAGAAAACAAUUUUCCACCUCCCCUUCACUCUGUCCUCUUUCUUCUCUCUUUGCACAGAGGAUUUCAUUAUCCUCUCAGAGCAGGAGCUGAUCACAUCUGAAGACACUUUUCCUCACCAGAUGAUGUUUUCCUCACCGGCCUCCAUCAUACCCUUCUCCUCCUCCUCCUCCUCCUCAGGGUCAUGCUGUGUGACAACCUGCCCUCAGCUAAACGCCUGAAGGAAACGCUCUCCUCUGACGACUGCUAUCAGCGUUUACAGAGCUGCACCAACACGCUGCCUUAAAGCCACUUUGGCAGUUUGUGAAACAGCAAAGCUCUCUUAGGCUGAAAGCUGGCUGACCGAAGGCUGUGCUCGCCGCUUUUCAUGCUGCGUUUGCGUUUGUCUUAAAUCUUCACACACAAUGAAAGAGCGCUCUCUCUAUCGCUCGUGUUAAAAAUGACAGAUUUAUUUCUGGCACAGAAUUUCGCACUAUUUCCAGACUUUGUCCUUUAAAAGAGAAGAUAAUCAUCAUUUUACAACCUUUUUUUUAAAAAGUCCACAAUGCCUUCCUCUCAAACAACUUCAUGUUGUGUUUACUUGGUUCAGCAGCAUCUUAGUCAUGUUUGUGAUGGUAGUCACAGUUUCCAGGGCAAUGCAGGGAUACAAUACUUUCCUCUUUCACAGGAUGAGUAUAUUUGACAUUUUUAACAUGCUUUAAGUCCUCUGAAUCUCUGCACAAACACCAGAGCAGAGGUUCACAGAGUGAGGGACACGACAGAGUCACGACAGGCUGAGCCAUCACCUUGACAUCUGAAUCAUUUACACAGCAGACUGAUAAACAAAAACACAAAAUAAACGAUAAAGGUUUUAAUUAAACUGGACUCUAAACUUGAGCUCCCCCUGGAUGAAGGAGACUGAAGAGCUCUCUGAAGUUUAAUUUGAUGUUUCAGUUUGUAGCUUUGUAAAUUGUUUUCUGGUGACUUUAUUCUCAUAUUUUUGUUUUUAUAUGUGGGAAAUCUAAAGUAAAGUGAAUGCUGCGUUUGAGUAUUUCAGUAUUUUUGAAGUGAGGUUGUCCCCGAGUGUCUUUAGUGUUUAAGCUACGAUAGAAGUCGCUCAGCUCAGCUCCACCCCUUUAAUGAGAAACCGCCACGAGGUCCAGCAUUUGGACUAGGCUACAGUUUUCUGUAGACUCUGAUUCAGUAAAUUUUCAGAUUUCCUGACACAAACUGCGGAACAGUACUGCAUUCACUUCCUAAAGAAAAAAAAAAAGGAAACUUUUUUGAGUAUUUUUUUUACUCUGCUGAGAUUAUUUUUUUUACUCUUUUUAGAUUAAUUUUUUUCUUCUUUCUGUUUUUGUAACUUUUUUUCUUCAGUUUUUUUUUGUUCCUUUCGAAAAAUUAGUCUGAAAAACAAAACAAAAAGGCUGAAAAACAGAAAAAAAAUUAGUCUGAAAAACAAAACAAAACCCCCCCCUGAAAAACACACAAAAAACAGUCUGAAAAACAGAAAAUUAGUCUGAAAAAAAAGUCUGAAAAACAGAGCUUUUAUUUAUUUUUAUGUUUUUGUUGAAUGCAAUACGCUUCCAUAACAAACUUUUACUCUCCUGAGAAAUUUUCCACCAGACAGACCAUCGUUCUUUUUUUCAGUUGCAAACACACAGUACGACUCUGGCUCGAACACGAACUUGUGACCGUACUCCAAAAAUACCGAAAUAUCCCUUUAAUGAAGACUGAAGAGGCCUUCUUUUGCAUAAAGAUCAGGAAUGACAUGACUAUUAGUCAACAGUGUCCCUGCAGUCCUGGGUUCGUGUCCUUGUAGUCCAUGAUCCAGUUGCGUCUCUCUUUAAGUUUUAUUUCUGGCGUAAAAAUUAAAAUGUAAAUUCAUGCAAAGUUUAUUCUAAAGCAUAAAGAGAUUACAGAUGAGAUAGCGUUGACUUCUUUAACUGUGAGAUCUAGGUUUAAUGACACAGUAAAGAUGCAUUGAAUGCAUGCACACUGGUGCAGGUGUGGGUUAAAUCUGCGUGUAAUUGGUUAUCCUCGCUCAGAUCAGACAUGUAAUUCAUCAUGUAAUCCCCGGGGGGGCUCGUAUUACAGGUGCUCCUACACUUCACCAUCAGAAAGAGUGACUCCUUGAUUAAUGUGCUUUAAUUUUUGAACUUUUUCAUGCUCAAAUUGGCUCUUUGGAGCUUUCUGAAAUGUCAUUUAACAAACAGGUUUGAUGAACAAAACCUUGUUAACGCUUCCCAUCCCAUGAGGCGUCAGAGCAGGUCCACUGAUUUUUUCCUGAAAAAGUUUUGAUCACAGAAAAGAGCAGCAGUUUAACCUUGUUCUUUUUAAAUAAAAAUGAUCUCAUCUUCAGCAGCUCAUUUAUAUCCACUCUGGACUCUGACUCUUUCCCUCUUUUUCAGCCAUACUUGGCGCUUUGCAUCAUCCUGUCUACCUCCAGUUUAGACAGAAAUAGAAGACAUAGAAGCAGUCAUAAAACAUGGUUUACACAUUCAUGUGUUAUCUUUGCACAUCCAACAAGACAAACGAGCUACGAUUGAAGACUUUAAGACCAGGUACGCAGGACUGGAACAUGGUGCAACAUCCUCAGCACUUAAAGUGGUGCUCUCUGGAUCGGGCUAUGUAUGCACACGUUCAGUACAAAGCUUGUGCAUGAACACAAUGCAUAAAAAGCCUCUGCAGUCCUAACAUGGAGGAGUAAAUCACAAAAAGUUUGUACCGUGUCUUCAAGGAGGUGUUUGCACAUCCCUCGAUCUUAUGAUGUGGGUGUCCAGGACAUGAAACUACAGUCUUGACAAGAGAAAACCCUUCACACCACCUCUGCCAAGCAUCACUGUUCCACUUUCUCAGCUGUGAAGACCAGAAUUCACACAGAGAAACUCUGAAAACUGAUUUCUAUCUGAGAAAAACUUAAAAAACUCAGUAACCACACAACACUUUCAAGCAAUACAAACUUUAAAGACCUCCUUUUCAGUCAUUAACUAUCCAAUUAUUAUUCAGUCCUCCAGCUAUGCCUGUAAAAUAUAAACACUACCACUUUAUUACCACUUUAUUAUCUAUCACAUCCCCUGUGGAGUCUCAGUUUUACAGUAAACAGUAAAUAACACUCAGACUUCACUUUAGGUGUAUUUUAGUAGUAUGAACUCAAGAAAAAAAACACUGUUCUUGUGAUUUUGUGUGAUUAACAGUAGUUAAAUUUGCUGAAAUAUCAGGAUCAUAAUCCAGAUUUCUAGUUAGUCUCAGUUUCACUGUAAACUUCACAAAGGCCACACUCUGACUCUGAGCUACUUCAGCAGCAUCAACCUGGAUAAAGAACUAAUGUUCUUGUGAUUAACUUGGAAAUACUUUGUUUUAAGUUUGUUGAUGUAUUAUAACUCAGACUUCUGGUGAGUCUCAGUUUCACUGUAAACAGUAAAUAACACUCAGACUUCCCUUUAGGUGUACUUUAGUAGUAUGAACUCAAGGAAAAAAAACUAUGUUCUUGUGAUUUUGUGUGAUUAACAAGAGUCAAGUUGAAAUCUCAACAUCAUCAUCCAGAGUUUAAGUGAGUCUCAGUUUCACUGUAAACUUUACUCUGUCUCUCAGUGGCAUCAUCCUGGAUGAAAAACAAAGUUCUUGUGAUUGACUUGGGGUUAUUCGGUUUUAAGUUGGUUUAUAUUAUAUUAUGAUUCAGACUUCUGGUGAGUCUCACUUUCACUGUAAACUAAAAGGAUCUUCACUCUGAAUUACUAAAGCAUCAUUAUCCUGGAUAAGAAACCAGUUUACUUCUUAAUAACCUGUAACAGCUUGGUGUUGAGUUUGCACCUAUGACAUACUUAUUUAGAUUUCUGGUGAGUCUCAGCUUCACUGUGAGUGUUUCAUUACAGUCAGGCUGCUCUCUCUGGCUUUUUUCAACUUAAGUAAAUACAUUGUUCUUGUGAUUUUCAGAGAGUCUCAGUUUAGCUGUAAUUCUGAUUUCGAGCUUAUUCAGUGUCAUCAUCCUGGAUAAAAAAUCUGUUUGCUUUAUAUCUACUUGUUGUUAACUGUUUAGUCUCAGCUUCACUGUAAGUCAAGAUUAUUUCAUCAGUAUGAACUCCUCAAGAGAAACCAGUUUUCUUUGAUAAUGAACAGGUCUUAAUUUUGUUUUAAUAGGAUCAUGACUGGUGUUUCUGUUGAGUCUAACCCCCAGUUUCCACUGCAUCCGGAAUGGCUACAAAAAGGUUGUAUCUGCCGAUCGUAGCUGAUCGUAACCAUUCAAGUUAACAUGUCAAUUUCCACCGGCUUCUUUAUGUUCCGCUGCGGAUUGCCGGACUCCAUAGCUGAUCACAAGAUUUCUAUUUUUUCCGGAUGCCGGAGCAUGCCGGAUAAAUUCAGCACAGAUUAACCCAUGCUGGAAAGGAAGUCGGGCACAGACACAAAAUAAAACAUCUGGCUUCUUUUCAAAAUAAAACACUGUGUUUCAGGCGGAUCGUAUUUCACAGCAUGCAAACGGUUGGAGACGAACAAGUUAAAGGUUUUUACACGUCAUUUCACCCCGAUGACACCAUGGAUGAGGAGAUGCUGAUUCUAGAAGUCUAAAGGUAGAUUUCCUCCUCUGGAAGGACACAAUCUACUGCUUAUACAUCUAUGUUGCUGUCUUUAUGGGUUCUUGUGAGUUCCCGUGAUUCCUGCUGUCCGUAAUCCACCAAGAAAUUUGCCUCACAAAUGUAUCUGAUAGGAACUGGCAGAUGGCAAAAAUCACUGUCGUUCAGGAUGUGGUGGAAAUUCGGGGUCAGUUUUACUGUAAUUAGCAAGCUACACACAGGCUCCUGUCAGCUGAAUUCAGCUGUUAACUCCUGAAAAGAAACCUAGUUUUUUUGUGAUUUACUGAGUGAGAUUAGUGCGCAAGACUCAGGAUUAGCCUCGUGUCUUUCAUCGGACACGUCCUGCAACUUCUUAUUGUGGUCAUUUAGAUUCCACAUGACGUAAAAUGAGGGUCAUAAAAUCCUGGAAUCACCUUUGAGGACAGAGGAAGCGGCACAGAAACACUCCCUCAGCUCCAGGAUUAACAUUUAGGGAACAUCGAGAAGCUCCACCAGGAACAACAGGGAGAUAAACAGACGCCAUCAGUUUGUGAUUUAAGGUCAUGUGACCUGAUAAUCGAUCAGCACAGAAUCACAGGAGCAUCUGCAGGAAUAGACACAUUUCUGAUUCACACACACACACACACACACACACACACACACACACACACACACACACACACACACACACACACACACACACACACGCACAGACACAUGGAAAAACCUCCAGCCGAGAGAGACACACAGUGGCUAACUAAAAGCCUGAAACGCCUGAAAUGAUAAUGGCCAUUAAUUUCAGAUUACUGUACAGAGCACAUUAAGGUUAGCCGACUUCAGGCUGGAAAUGAAAGUGGUCGCCAGACUAAUUAACCACACUGAGAUCUAUCAUAAAAGUGAGAAAAUGCCAGCUCCCAACACAACAAACAAGAUUAAUCUCUGAACUGUAGAUAAAGAUGAAACACAGAGAAAGGUUGCUCCGUUCAGUCUGAGACUUUCAGGGGUUAAAUUGUUCCAGGAUUUACACUUUUUAUAUGGCCCAAUGUUUCUCUGCUUCUCUGCAAAGCGGCUGCUGGAAAAAUAACCAUAAAUCACAAACAUUAGCUUCCAUUAGACGGAGAGGAGGAGGUGAACCCGUGGAGGACGAGGCGGGAGAGGGAAAAGAGAGGUGAAAGAUGGGGGAGUCAGCUGUGAAAAAUGACUGGAAAAAAAAAACUGGAGCUGAAAUGAAAGGAUGAAAGGUGGGUGGUUCAGUGUGGAUUUAAUGGGAUGCUACAACAGCUCGUGUGCAGUGAAAUGCACAGAGCCGAGGGAUUAAUGGAAAACAAUUGUCCUGAAAACAUUGUUAUUGAUAAUGAGACAUAGUGAUGUUAAGAGCAAAGACAAAAGGGGCAUUUAGGCGUGAAGAAGAAACAAACGGCUCAUUGACGAUGAAGACGAAAAGUCAUGUGGAGGAAAAAGACCCUCCGAGGGAUGAAGGCCAAACAGUUAUUUUCUAAUGAAUGUAAAGGAUUGUAUUCGACGCCUUUUCGGGUGUUAUGGACUGAACAUUACAACACUGUCAGGGCAGUUAGCAUAAAUCUAGUUGGUACAAAAUAACCACAAACAGAAAGCCCGCCAUCGUCUGAAGAUACUCAGUCUUUACAAUAACAGACUAUCCAGGUAAGUCUAAUAAACACCAGGAAGAGGAAUAGACUCUGAGCCUAAAGGGUUAAUCGACAUGUAAAUAUUAAACGUGAAAAAAAAAAGAAUGAAAAAUGAAUUAAAUACAAAGAGUGGUCGGGCUUUGGUUUCUCUGUGAAGAACACAAUCCACGGCAUUGACAUCCCGACGUCCAGCAAGAGUAAACCGAUGACAGUUUACUUUUCUGUGUGAACAGAUAUCUGUUUUAAAGGUCAGCUGACAGUCUAUCUGUUCAUUAAAGGGAUAUUCCAGUGUAAAAAUAAUUUAGGGUCAAACACACCAUAACACUGAGUUAGACACCCCCUCCAGAAAUGAAUGUUGCCGACCGCUUGCUUCUCUAGUUAUACCAACUUUAGUAACGACCGCAGGAUAGCAAUACACAGCGGUCUGAGAAGCCAUAAACAAACCUCAACCAAAACGCCACUCUGUAGCCACAAAUAAUGCUCAGAACAGCACCUAACUUCAUCAACAGGACAUAUAGGGUCCCAGCCAUAGUACUAGCCACCGAACAUCUUUUUAACUUUGACUAAUUUCUUUAGCAAAGAGACUAAACACAAGUCACCUACUCUCUUCCAGCAGCCGCUUGUUUGUAGUGUGACCUCAGGCCAGUCCAUAACGGACUACAGCGGGGUAACGCAGCUCAAGGAAGAACAUUUUUGAUCAUUUCUUUAUCAUUUCCUUGAAGUAAUAAUCAUCAUAUUAAUCAUUUUGCACUGCAGACGCGGUAGUUCUUCUGCCUUAGCAUCUCGAUCUGAUUGCAUUUCCAUGAAGAAAUGAUCAUAAAUGUUCUUCCUUGAGUUGUGUCACACCACUGUAGUCCGUAAUGGACUGGCCCAGAGGUCUUGCUACAAACUAGCAGGUGCUGGAAGAGAGUAGGUGAGUUGUGUUUGGGUGGAGUCUUCAAAGUCGUUUAUUACAAACCAAAGUCCUCAAACUUCACGGUAAUCUCAGGAGAUCCCCAGAUGGUUCCUGAUCUGAGAUUGUUUUCAGGCAGAAAUCAGUCUGAUACUGAAACAUACUCAGUUUUUUUUAUCAUUAUUUUUCAGUUUUGGCCCGGUGUUGGUGUUAGUCGUAUGCAGCAGAACAGUCUGUGUGAAAAGGAGAAAAAGGAGCAGGCCUGGAAUCAGCUCUGAAACAUUGGCAGCCAUAGCAGGGGUCUUAUUUUAGUUCCAGCACAGCCAAUGGAUUUGGAGAUCUAGAUGAAAAGACACAUUUGCAGCAUUGCUGGGUGAAAAGGUCUUUUUUUGGCAGAUGGAUUUGGCUUUGGGAGAUCUGCUGUAUGGAUGUUAUUGUUGAAACUGUUAAUUUUUCCUCUUUGUUGUUUUUUUUCAGACUGCUGUUUUCAUAAAAGCAUCUGCUGGUACAUUGUUUAGUCGAACCCACACUGAGGGGAGGGUUCAGGGGAUCUGAAGCUGUAAGGAGGGGCUGUGGGCGAAGGGUGCGCGGGUCGUCCACUUCACAACUUUAACGAUACGGGAAAGUUAGACGUCAAGUUCAGGAGGAGAGUUUUGUCAUCAGGUUGUGUGGAUCUGAAAUGGAAAUGAGCACACGAUGGACCAUUAGAGUCGAAAUGGAGGAGCUCUCCUCACGCUCAGGGUAGUUAGUCAGAACAUGUGAAUUUAUGCAAAAAAAAAAAACAGACUUAUGAAACCUGCUCACGCUUGUUGUGAGGAAGCAGACGUUCCUCUGAGAGUCUUUGAACAGACCUUCUGUCAGACGCACAUUUGACUUAGUUGAUGCAUGAAUGAUGUCUAAUGUCGUCCAUCUUUACUGCGCCUUCUCUCAUAGUCGCCUGAGAAGACAGAAAAAUGUCCUCUUUUAUUCAUCUGCAUCUUUCUGACACCUUCAGACAAAUGAUUCACUCAGCAGGAAGACGGCUACGAUUUUCAAUACCCCACCAUUAAGAGCAGCGCGCUCACCCGCCUCUGAGGACUCCCACAUUGUGAGCUGCUCCCCUCUGGAACCUUACGUGGGUGCUAUUAAUCCUGCCGCACCGUGGGAAGCCUUUGUGCCGCCUGUCUCUCACUGUUUGUCCUGAUCGUCUCCAUUCAAAGCUGACAAAUAUCACCACAGGAGCCACAACGCCGCCACUGCCGCCGUAUAGACACCUGCAGACACAGCAGAUCUUCAGGGGACAUCGCAUCACACCAAACUGACAAAGUCAUCAUGAAUAUGAAAGGAGAGAAAAACCAGGACCGAUGGCAACAGUCUGUUUAGGGCAAGUUUAGUGAUUUAACACUUAUUCUGAUGAUUAAUGGAGUAAAACCAAAAAUGAAAUAUUCAGUGUAUUAUUAUUAUGGCUGGGACUCAAUUAAAAAAUGUAUCUAAUUAAUCGCAUUUUAAUCGCAUAUCAAUAUUUGACCUGAGAAUAGUGAGAAUAAUUUCUUAAAGUGGUCUACAAGUGAAUCAGUGACUAGUAAACUGAAUGAAUACAUGAGCUUAAACAAAUAAAAUCUUGAUUAUUUUCUUUUCACUGUGUAGUAGUCAGGAUCCCUGCCCACAAACAGUCGCUCCUGCUCGCUCCUAUCAUUCCAGUAAAAUUGCAGAUAAAUACUUCAGAUAAUUACAAAUGGGGCCCAGUCAAUGUGAAAGUAAAAAGCAUUGGUGCUACUGGAGAUGCCAACACACUACCAGCAAACACAAUGUUUGCAGGACUUCUACAACUAGGAUAAAGUGACAUAGUCCAGGACCAGAGGUCAACAGUUUAGUGGCGCUACAACACACUACAGAAGGUCCCGUUUGACAAGAAACACUUCUGUUACAGACACUUGGGUUACUUUGUUAAAGUGGUUUACCUGUCCAGCAGAAAGGUUACAGGGUCACCAAGAUCCCCAAGCAUUCCCCAUCAUUUAUGUUGAUCCGGCUUUUUAGCUCUUGUCCGGUCUACCUCCUUUUCAAGCACCCGUUAUUCCGCCAGAGUCUCCGGUAUUUGAUCGUUCAUUUUUGCGUGAGCUGGAGUCACUGCUGCACUCACUCACAUUGGGGUGCACUGGUAUAAGCAGGAUACCUGAACUCGUCCAGAAACGUUCUGCGGUACAAAUAUACAGUAGGUGCAAUUGAUAUGAGUUAAUAUUUUUAAUGAGAUAAUAUUACUGUAAUUAAUUAAUCACCUCAAGUGGAGGAGUUCAAGUAUCUCGGGAUCUUGUUCAUGAGUGAGGGUAGGCGGAUCGGAGUUGCGUCAGCAGUGAUGCAGACGCUUUACCGAUCAGUCGUGGUGAACAAAGAGCUGAGUCGUAAGGCCAGACUCUCGAUUUACCGGUCGAUCAACGUGGCGAUCCUCACCUAUGGUCAUGAACUUUGGGUAAUGACCGAAAGAACAAGAUCACGGAUACAAGCGGCUGAAAUGGGUUUCCUUCGCAGUGUGGCCAGGCUCAGCCUUAGCGAUAGGGUCAGACACUUGGGAGGCGCUCAGAGUAGAACCGCUGCUCCUCCACAUCGACAGGAGUCAGCUGAGGUGGCUCGGGUAUCUGGUUAGGAUGCCUUCUAGACGCCUCCCUUUAGAGGUGUUCCAGACAUGUCCCACCGGGAGGAGACCUUGUGGCCGGCCCAGGACCAGGUGGAGGGAUUAUAUCUCUCGCCUGGCCUGGGAAUCCCCCCAGAGGAGCUGGUGGAAGUGGCUACGGUGAGGGCUCGUCUGUGCUUCCCUCCUGAAGCUGCUGCCCCCACGACCCGGACCCAGAUAAGCAGAAGAAAACGACAAUGAAUUAAUCGCAAUUAACCCGUUAAAGUCCCAGCCCUUAUUUUUACCUUUACUGCUGUAACAAUGCCGUGAGAAUAUUAAAGGGUUAUCUUGUCUUAUUUCUAAAUAAAUGUACUGACCACCAGAGUUCUCCAUUUGGUUUAAUAGCUUUUAUAUUUUUACACUUUAUCUAUAAGUUCAGUUUUUUUCCUGCAGAUCCUGUUUUUCCGCUCCGUGGAUUUUGACACAGCUUUAAAACUCACUUCAGAUACAAACUUUUGCAGUAGUUAGAAACAAAAUAAGCUAUCUGUCACAGUGAGAGCUCCAUAAAUCACCCAAAGCUGAGUCAGACCAGCCGGGGGAAAAAGAGAGAUACUCUCCAGAUAAAAUAUGAUGCACUUUUCCCAAAAUAAGUGUAACAAAUCAGUUUAUAUGUCAGAUUUAUCAGCGCCAAAUAUUUUUCUCUCCGAGCGACUGAGCUGCCAUUUUGGUGGGGCCCAGGUGAUGGUGGUUUCUGCUGACUGCGGAGGUGAGAUGACAACCAGAAUCUAAUUGCACCAAUUUUUCAAGUAGAGAAACCGUACGACUGUAACAGUUCACCAAAUUGAGCAGACUCAUUUAAAAUGAGAUGCAGAAGUUUGGAAAAAACGAAAAUGAAUCUCUGUUCACUUCACCUGCUUUUGGUCAGUGGAAAAAUUUCACCUGCACCAAAGUUUGACUGCCAGAGAUGAAUCUGGAGAGUUUUACAGACUCGUUUAUAAUCCGGAUCAGACUAAAAGGCAGAAAAAUGAACGUUUAACAGUCACCUAUAACUUUUCUGCUCCAGCAUCUCCUUCGAUUUAUGUCUGUGACAGUCUUCAGGUAAAAAUACAGUCACCCUGUCCUGCACAGAGGUAGAUACACUACAUAUACCUGCCUGUACGCUCCAGCACCUCUGUGAACUUGGAGUAAAUGUUGAUGGAGCGUUGAGGCUGAAACUGAGAGAUGUUAGCGUCUGAAAUGGCUGAUUUGCCUCCUCACACAGGCUGACAGCGUUUACUGAAGCAGGGAUGAACAAAUGUGCUCUGCAGAAGCCGUGAUAUUGGAUUUCAAACACACAUUCACCGCACUUCCUGCAAAACUCAGCUCAACUUUUCCCUUCUCUCUCUCUCUCUCUCUCCUCCACACGACUCUCCAUCAUUUUCCGGCUGCACUUUGUACCCUUUCUGGAACAAAAAAAAUAAAAAAGGCAGCAAUCACAGGUCAGAGGCAACAAUUCAUGUUGGAUGUUUCUUCCCUUUGAGUGCUUCUAACCAGAAAAAUGCUUUUACCACUUCCAUUUGAUUUUUUAUUGUCCUGCCCUCACACGGCACAAUAUUUCGGUUUAUGCAGCAGCAGGAGCGACAGAAUGAAUCUGACCUGCAGGAAAAUAAAUCCUGCUUUGUGUGUAAAUAAGUGCAGUUUUAACGCAGUGUGACAGAUUCAGAUUCGGCGUAGUUACACAGAGUGUUAAUGAACAUUUGCAUCUGUAUUAUGUGCACUAAAACACUCUGCUGGUCUGAUAUUACAUUUAUGAUGUGCACAUGUUUUCUAACUCUCUCCUCAGGCUGUAUAUGUCACAUAUGUGCAUAUGUUGCAUAUUACAUGUUACGUACAUACUGACAUGUCUGUGCAUGUUCCCCCUCUGACAUGACGAUGGCAGCUGAGACAGCAUCACUGCGGUGCAGCGGUGCAUUUCUCCUGCAACAUUCAAAGGGAGCGUCAGCACUGAGUUCAGUCAUUUUUCUGAUGAAAUGCCUAUGUUUCCCAUAAUGCAGGUUGACUAAUGUUUGCAGGCUCACUUGUUUAGCUGGAGUAAAAAGAAAUAUGAGCUCCAAACUGGGUCAAAGUUUGAGUGCAUGACUUGCUAAAGAGUAGAAAUGAAGCAGGAGACGAGCGAAAAUCUUAUUUUUCUGCAUGUGCUGCAUGAACAGUUUUUGUUCAAAUGUGUAAUUUUAAGGUAAUAAUAUGGCAGCGAUUGUUUGUAGACAUCUGCAUGAACUAUAUUUUGAUAACAUACAGUACAGGCCAAAAGUUUGGACACACCUUCUCAUUCAAUGCAUUUUCUUUGUUUUCAUUACUAUUUAAAUUGUAGAUUCUCAAAACUAUGAAUGAACACAUGAGAAAUCAUGUGCUUAAGAAAAAAGUGUGAAAUAACUGAAAACAUGUUUUAUAUUUUAGAUUUCUCAAAGUAGCCACUCUUUGCUUUUUUGAUAGCGCUGCAAACUUUCGCUGUUCUCUCAAUGAGCUUCAUGAGGUAGUCACCUGAAAUGGUUUUUACUUCACAGGAGUGCCUGAAGUAAGCCUGACAAGGUACUUCUGUCAUCAAGAGCAAAGAGUGGCUAUUUUAAAGAAACUAGAAUAUUAAGAAUGUUUUCGGUUAUUUCACACUUUUUUUAUAAGUAAAAAAUUCUACAUGUGUUCAUUCAUAGUUUUAAUGCCUUCAGUGACAAUCUACAAUGUAAAUAUAAAAUAUAAUAUUAUAAUAUAUGUCAUAUAAAAAAAAAAGAAAAGACAUUGAAUGAGAAAGUGUGUCCAAACUUUUGGCCUGUACUGUAUAUUAAAUAUUUACAGAUUUCAAGCAGUUAGUGAUGAAUGACUUCAUAAUUCACACUCAAACUUCAGAUGCAACUCUAUUACCUCACUGAGCCCUAGAUGUCCAUCUAUAAUCGUCUAAAUUGGAUCAAUCGGUCUAAAUUUGAUCAAUCAAUCAAAUUCAAUCAAUCAAAUUUAAUUCAAAUUAAAUUUAUAUAGCGCCAAUUCACAACAGUCGUCAUCCCAAGAUGCUUUUCAAAGAACAAGAGCAGGUCUAGACCACACUCAUUGUUUGAUAGAUUAUCAAGACUCAACCUAAAAUGGGAUUUUAGCCCGAAUCUAGAUGAUAGAAUUUAAUCAAUUAAUUAUUAAAUAAAAAAACAACUGUAAGUGUAGUUUAGUCUCUAAGAUGGCUAGUAUUAGCUCAAACCACUAAAAAACGUUCAUUUUUGGUAGACCAAUUUUAGCCCAGAUGUCUCAGGACCAUUAGAUGUCUAUCAAACGUCUUUUAGACUGAAAAAUUCUCAGUGGGGCAGAUCAAAAGUGUUUUGACAGAUUUUUUUUACAGACUGUUUUACUCGUAGAAACAAAGGUCUGCUGUUACUCAGACUAUAGCGGAAUUCAAACAGGGAGCAGAAACACUCUUCAGACCAAAAUCCAGACCCAGAGUCAAGUUUAAAGUUUACACUCUCACAAAUAAGUCAGUCGCAGUCUUUGGGAGCUGCAGUGACAAAUCUGGGACAACAUUAAAAAACUGCCUUUAACAUGUUUCAGUGAUCCAUCAAAAUAAAACAUCCAUGUUCUUCUAAAAUAAUGACCUUAACGGUGGGGUAGUCAGGAAUCUGUUAAAGAAGCAUCUUUUUUUGUGGUGUAUUUACAAAAAAUCUUUUAAUAUCAGUCAUUAGUUAUUAGUUAUUGAUGACAUUUGGUAAUUGAAUUAUAUCUCUGUGUUCUGUCUGUGUAGUCAACAUUUUAACAUUUUUGAGUGGUCCGCUCUUUCUGGCUGUAAAAAAGGCCGUUCUCCACCUCCCCAACCUGAUUGGUUGUGAGACAGAUGCUGCUCCUUCGCGUUGUGAGGCACGCUCCAUGUCCUCGAAUAACAUUCAUGAGCCCAAACAAAGUUAGCGUGCUACAAUAUCAGACAGUAGAAACCAACCAGAAAGUACGGAAAAUUGUCUGAAUCCUCCUUUAGCCACGACUGCCAACAAAAGCAAGAAAAGGAAGUAAAUAUCGGAGACUCUGGCGGAAUAACGGGCGCUUAAAAAGGUGGUAGACUGGACAAGAGCUAAAAAGCCGGGUCAACAUAAAUGAUGGGGGACGCUUCUGGAUCUUGGUGACCCUGUAACCUAUCUGCUGGACAGGUAAACCGCUUUAACAAAGUAAGCCAAGUGUUUGUAACAGAAGUGUUUCUUGUCAAACGGGACCUGCUGUAGCGUGUUGUAGCGCCGCUAAACUUUUGACCUCGGGUCCUAGACUUCGUCACUUUAUUGUGUUUGCUGGUCGUCUGUUGGCAUCUACAGUAGCACCCAUGCUUUUUACUUUCACCUUGACUGGGCUCCAUUUGUAAAUAUCUGAAGUAUUUAUCUGCAUUAUAUCUGAAUUUAAUUGGAACGAUACGAGCGAGCAGGAGCGUCUGUUUGUGGGCGAGGCUUGCUGGAGCAGCGAGGGAGGGGAGAGGAAGAGCUGAGGGGAAAACUGGUUGGGAGGGGUAGAGUUUACAUUCAAGAUUUCUCCUAGAAAGUGGAACCUCCUCAGAUCCUGACUACCCCACCUUUAAGUGGAAAUAAUGUCCUCAGAUCUUUACAUAUUUGGGUUCGAUGGCUGACAGCGUUAAAUCUAAUGUCUGUUUCAGAGUGAGGCACUUGUUUAAACAGUGAAUUAAUCUGGACUCUUAUAUUGUAAUGAAAAGAAAACAAGCUGGAAUAAACCUGCAUGCGAAACUAAAGUAAGUGUGAGGAUGAUAAGAUAUAAAGAGGCAGCAGUCCAGAUAGGAGAGGCAGAGCAGGGUAAGUCUUCAAGUGUGACAGAGUCACUUAUGUAAGCCAUUUAUCUUUAAUGCCGUCUCUAAAUCUUGUGAAUGGAUGGAGCCAAAAUCACUUAUUCUAAUGCAUCACUUGUAUGAAUAAAUGAAAACUUAGAGUCGGUUAUCUGGAACAUCAAAAUAAAUAAUGAAACAUGCAGGACAGGCAGUUUAAUACUCGGUUUGACCUCACUGAGCAAGUCUGAGAGUGUGACAGGAACGACUCAUAACCCUCACUACUGAUUUGUUACAAUCACUGGUGGAAGAGAAGUGACAAACACCGGUGACUGAAACCAAUCCUUGAAGAAACAGAGGCGUCUAAAGUUAUUAUAGUAUUCACUGAGAGGAUUUCAGAUACAGACAUGUCUCUUUUACCUUUAACUGUCGGUCAUCAUCACCAUAAUGAAAUUAAAUGCUUUAAAACAAUGAGUAAAUGCUCAUUUAGCUCCAACAGUAUAAUAAUGUUUUUAAUGUUUGAAUGGUCUGUUGCUCCAAUAAAUAAAAAAAAGAGCAUUUUCUGCUAUUAACCAUCAUUUUCUUUGCUUAAAUGUUCACACAGUCCAGGUUCAGCUCAACAAACCCAUCCUUACGUAUUAGAUCCAUGUUUUAUUUACACAUGUGCUCCUCUGAAUGGCCGGUGGUGUGAGCAGGUUUAAGAAAAGAUGGCAUCCUUCGUCUUCAUCCUUCUUCAACCUGGAUGUCUGCCUCUCCAGGGCCUGAGUCAGCAAAAGUCGUAAUCCAGAAAUAAGCCUUUACUAAUUAAAAUAAUCGUUGUUACAUCCCUGAAUUCCUCCUCUAAAAGCAGGGAAAUAAAUUAGAGAGUAGAGGAAUCAUCUCCAGUGAAUGCUUGGAGUGUUUAUCUAGUAAGAGCAAACAAAAAAGUCUUCAUUAAACUUUAAUAAUGAACUUUAUAUUCAAUGAAGUGUGAAAUCACAGGCUGUGGCUGCAUCUGUCUUCAGAGGAGACGCUUACAGUCGGAGUUUGACUUCCACUUCAGUUUUCGGUUAAAAAAAAACUUUCUUCGCUGAUGUUUUCUGCUCUGUCACAUCCGACAUUUCCUAAAAUAACAAAGAAGGAAAUAAAUAUCUGUAACACAAAUAAAGUUUCAUUUUUAAACUUGGAAAUGUGGGAAAACAAGUCAUAUAGAUAAAACUCCAACACAGAGAACGAUAAAUGUCCAUGUGACAGGGUGACUGCCUGAACUAGCACCAAGGCUUUGCUCCAGUUUUUGGCUGGUUAUAAAACUGACAGGAAUUAAGAAAUGUAGGAACACUGGAGGAACUGCAGCCUGUGCACCACUCCAUUAUCGUGCCAUCCCUUAAUAUUUGACAAUAUUUUAUGGGAGUCGAAUUCAAAAAGGUAAAUUUCAUUUUAAAAAUGUUUGCUAAUGUUAUUGUGCGAGCUAAGGUGAUGCUAAAAUUCUAAUGUUUAGUGUGGAUUCAGUUUAAAUGGUUUUAAAAAGCGUUCAGAGGUUAAGUUUAGUGACUGAAUUAACUAAGGCAACAUUCAACAGACAGCUAGCAGCACUCACCCGUCACUCAAAGAGGCCCCGCCCCCUUUAUAUUCAUGUCUAAUCUUUAAUAUAAUGUAUACUUAUGAGUCCCCUAUAAGUUUAGCUGUUUGCUUAUUUCAGCUGUGAAAGUUGGACUUUUUACCAUGGGGUUCUGUAGGGAGUGGCUCUCUUUUGAACACAGCCUCUAGUGGACACUGGAGGAACCGCAGUCUGUACAUCAUUCCAUUAUCAUGUCAUCCCUUAAUAUUUGACAAAUACGUCAUGUGACUCUUCUUCAAAAAAGGUAAACUCCAUUUCUAAGCUGUUUGCUUUCGUAAUUGUGCGAGCUAAGUUGAUGCUUACAUGCUAACAUGCUAAUGUUUAGCGUUUAUUCAGUUUAAUGGCUGUAAAAAGUGCCCAGAGGUUAAGUUUAGCGACUGAAUUAACUGAGGAAACAUCAGACAGAUGGCUAGCAGCUCUCACCUGUCACUCAAAGAGACCCCGCCCCCUUUAUAUUCAUAUUUACCCUUUAAUAAAAUGUUAACAUAUGGGUUUUUCUCUAAAUGUAGCUUUUAUCUUAUUUCCGCUGUGUAAGUUGGAUGUUUUAACAUGGGGCUCUAUGGGGACUGACUCUUUUUUGGACACAGCCUCUAGUGAACUCUGGAGGAAUUGCAGUUUGUACAUCAUUCCAUUAUCAUGUCUUCCCCCAACAUUUGACAAAUACGUCAUGUGACUCUUCUUUGAAAAUUGUAAACUCCAUUUAUUAAGCUGUAAAGUUUGACUUUUUAACAUGGGUUUCUAUGGGGACUGACUCUCUUUUAGACACAGCCUCUAGUGGACACUGGAGGAACUGCAGUUUACUUCAAGUUCUGUGCUGGAUUGGCUCGUGGAGAAAAUUCCAGAAGCGAUGGGUUAGCUUAUUGAUCAUAUGAGUGUCAGGUUCUUAUGGUAGAGGCUCAAAAAUUUAUUUCUAUUUUCCGUCCUGCGGAAUGAUUCUGAACCACACAGAUUUUCAAGCAUUCGUAGGGAUAAAGAGACACGUUUAGCCACUAAACCUCAGAGAUAUUUGAUUUAACUCUGUGAAGUCAGUCAGAUAAAGCUGAACAUGGACACAGAGUGAAUCUAUCAGAUAAAAACCUGAGCUCACACAGAGACAGCAGGCUCAGCAGUGACAGCAGGUCACCUCAAUCCUCUAAUCAGCCUCACCUUUUGGACUCAGAAAAAGGCAGCGCACACUAAAGCUGUCUCUGCAGAGGCAGCGCUGCACCUCUUCAGCCUGCUCACUGUGUGCUCUUUGAAAGCCACGAAAUGCCAGCUCGUACCCUUCAAUCAGAAGCCAGGGUAAUUUGACGGAAAUGGUCAACACCGCCGUGUGCUUUUGCAUUCAGAAGACAUCUGUGAGGGGAAUAAUAAAAACCAAGAAGAUACAUGUAAGGAGUUUCGUCGAUGUAAAGCUCGGCGGCAGCGAUCCUUCAGAAAACCUUCAGCUGUGCUGAAUCUCCUCAGUGAUCAGGCAAUUUAAGAGACAAAGAGACACCUGGAAGGUUAAAGCUGAGGACAGAGGAGGGGUUGAGAAGGGCAACCUCAUAUUACAGCAGCGAAUCACUGAGUCACAGAGCGAUUACUGUGACGGUGGAAUAACUCAAAUAUAUGAAGCAGCGGGAGAGAAGGAGAUUGUGUAUGAGAAAGAAGAAAGAUAAAGAGAGAUUGAAUCUAUUCCUCAGUGAUUUUCCUCACUGUAUGCCUCAGUGAGCUGGGUCAGCACUCUGUCUAAUAAAUGGAUAUUUCUGAUCAUUAUUCAAGUUGCUUUCUGUCUGUGUACGUUCACAGAUUUCACAGAGUUGCAGGAGGAAUAAUAAUCCUCUGAGUCCUGCUCUGCUCAGAGGAUGGAUGGUGGAUGUUGUGGCCUGAAAUCCUUGUUUCUGUUGUUUCAGGGACUAACAGGAUCCUGAGAGGAGUUUAGGAGGGCGGUCUUCAACAGAUGGAUGUCUUUGAAUCCUUUCACUAAUCAGGACAGUAAGCAGAGAUGAUGUCUGGUCCCAGAUUCACCAAAAAAGAGAAACCAAUGAAGAAGCACAAACUGCAGUUCUAUGAGUGUCCACUAGAGGCUAUCUUCAAAAGUGAGUCAGUCCUCAAAGAGCUCUGUGUAAAAACGUCAGACUUUAACAACAGAAAUAAACGUGUUCACAGCCUGGUGUCAAAAAAAUAUUUGGGUCUUGGAGGAUUGGCUUUGUCUCGUACUUGAUUUUAUUUAAUUUUUUUCAUUUUCUGACAGCAAAGUAAUUCCAGGGAAAAAUCAGCAAAUCACAAACAUCAAAUCAAAUCAAUCAAGUGACACCUGUCAUACAAAAGGAUGUAACGCAAAGUGCUUUACAGUUAGUUUAAAAACCAAAAACUAUUCGAGAUCCCAACCCACACACAGGGCCAGUGGAGGGAUGAGUCAGACACCAACCACCAGAAACCCUGUGACAAGCCCCUGCAACCACAAGGGACCACCGCUCCUGGUGAUAAAAACAAGUAAAAACUAAAAUAUGAAUAAAACACAGACCUAAAAUAAACCUAGGCUAACUAGAAUAAAUGAAGAUAAAACAAAUAAAUAUCAAUUAAAAGCUAAAAAGGUGGGUCUUGAGCCUGCUCUUAAAAACACGAAUGUUCUCUGCGGCCCUGAGGUCCUCUGGCAGGCUGUUGCAUAGAUGAGGGCCGUAAUAUUGAAAAGACGCCUCACCAUGAGUGUGUGUCCUGACUUUUGGAAUGACUAGGAGCCUGCUGCCAGAGGAGUGCAGGGUCUGUGAAGGUUCAUAAGGUAAAAGCAGUUCUGAAAGAUAAGAAGGCCCAAGACCAUUAAGACAUUUAAAAACAAGUAAAAGAACCUUAAAAUCGAUCCCAACACACACAGAGAGCCAAUGCAAUGAUUUUAAAACCCUUGUAAUGUGGGCCUGCCUCCUGGUCUUGGUCAGGACACGCUGAAUUUUAUAAUAAUUGUAGACCUGAAAUAUUCCUUUUGGGAAGAGCAGAAAGCAGGGCAUUACAAUAGUCUAUACGACUUGUGAUAGAACCCCUAACCCCUCUUCUACCACCUCAGAAAACCUCACUUUAAAGAGCGAACUAUCCCUUUAAGAAUGUCUUUUGACAGAGCAGAUUAGCAGGUGUCAGCUGUUUCUGUCGCCUCAUUUUGAUGGAUCACGCCAGACCUCAUAAAUUUCUGCAUAUCCCCCCGACACCACCACCAAUCUUCAACAAACUGAGAUCUCGGCGGAGAAUUAAAGCUCUCUGUCUAAUAUAAUAAAAAAAAGUGAUUGACAGCAGCGGCUACAGCAGCUUGUCUCCCUCAGCCUAACUUAUAUCAUCUGGGAGAGGUUACACCGAGUCACACCAGUCUGCGAGCAGGAGGUUCAGGCGCCAUCCAGCAGCCGGCGGCUACAGUGAGCAGAGAGAAAAGAAUGUUCUGGAUCAAUACCUGCCUCUUGGAGGAGGUGUGCACGCUCGGCUCUCACCCACAGUGUCCGUGGGUGUCAGUCAUCAUUAACUCGGUGGUGACGGGUGAGGAGGCGGGUGUUCUGGGAGACUGGAGCACAAAGGUUGGACUGAGGGGGACAAGAAGAGAGAUUUGGAGUGAGAGAAGUUUAGUUUGGUCAGAAAGUGCCAAACUUUCCGCCUCUGAGUGUUCGAGGACUCUGCAGCAGCAGCUCCACGUGACUAUUGUCAUUAUCUGAGCAGGAUCAAACCUUCCUGUCAGACUGUCUACACAUGAUGAAUCUUGUUUUUGUCCCGGGCUGCCCUCCUCCAACACGUAAAUGACCUCUUUUACAUUGAUUCAUGACUUCUGUGUGGCUUCAGACAUGUGAAUAAAGAAGUCAUUUGAAAUCCACAUGCACAGCCGAGGAGAGGUCCCGACAUGCGCGCAGAAAUCAGUCAUAUAAAUGUAAGGUCAGGUACGAGGGGGAGAAAUAUCAAGACCCUCCCUGCUUUUUACUCCUGCGACCCUCUGCGGCGUUAUGAUUUACAGAGAUGGCGCUCUGUAGGUGGAGGCUUUGUGAAAAGGCCCGUGGCGGCCUGUUUAUCUGUUUGUUCUGAAAUUCAAUCUCCGAGUGUCAGGACAUAGAAAAAUAACCAUCUUGUUUCCAGACGACAGUGCGGAGGAGAAACGCCGAUGGCGAGUCAGGGUCAGAUGUUUUUUUUUUCUGUGAGGCAGGAAGAAUACAAACACAAAGACUGUUCCUGAGACGGCCUUGGGUUUGUAAAACAUUAGCACGCCACAACAACAACCAUGAGAGCGUAGAGCCGUGCAACAGGCAGACAAGGCUGUACUGAGCAGCUGUGUUUGCAUGUAAAUCAUAAAAAGAGUGAUAAUGAAUAUUUACAAUGUUUGUUGUUUUUAGAGAAGGUAAAGGAGAGUGUGUAUAAAUUCACGAUCAGUGUGCACAGUUUGUACUCGCAUGAGAAAAGGGUCACUACUCCACUGACCCAACUGAAACCACUGGAGCUGUGUGGGCUAGAUGAAGCCCACACAGGGACCUGGACUGUAACAGAGCACACGGACAUGUUUGAAAGACAAGUGUUAAGCCGAAAACAUACAGGAUCCGUAUUGAGCGCAUUCUGUAUUUGCUCUGUAGAGCACCGUUGGGUGUCACAUACAGGAUCAGCGUAUUUGGAGUGGAAAUGACAUGCUCUCAACAUGUUUUUUCUUUUUGUGGUCGAUUUCCUGAUAAUUUGGAUAUAAUUCAGUGACUGUUGAGCCUCUACUAUAUGUAAAAAAGCUUGGAGUGAUUUUCCAGUUUGUGUUUUUGCUGGUUUACUGGUGUUUAAUAAAGUAAACUAUGUUCCUUUAUGCUGUGCCUUUAGAUUACCUUUAGACAGAGUUAGCAGUUCAAAGUCCUGUUGUGGUCCACAUGGAUCAGAUAUUGACCAUUAGAUUGUUCUGUGUUUCUGAUAAAUCCAGAAACAGGAAAGAUUUUUCAUCUACACCAACUGAUACACAGUCGGGAGUUCACAUAUGGCGUUCAGGGCUUGACACUAAUUUUUUUCACAUGUGCUCCUAAGUUAAAAAAGUAAGGAGCACACAAAAAACUUUAGGGGUCACAAUGAAAAUUCAUCAAAAUGUUUGUCGUAUUGUCCGACCUUAGUAAUAUUAUUUGAAAUCAAUUUUAGGUCAGCUGGUCACAUGGAAGCUAUUGAAGGAAAACAGUCUUUUUUGAGAACAUCAACUGGUAAUUUAUUGAUGGUCCCUUAUUCAACACCCGACGUAAACAGCGAGGGUGCCGAGUAGAUUUAAUCGCGCUGCUGUUGUUAUUCUCAGUUAUGGAAAGUGAGAAGACACCGGUAGAUCAUCAGUGAAUGUCUGACAAAUAUCCAACCUAAACUAACUUCACCGCGGUAUUUAAAGGGAAAAAACAUUUGUUGCCUCAGCCAAUUUUUUUUUUUUUAUGCCCACAUGUGACCCUAAAUACAUUUGACAAUUCAAGUCGCAAGUGCGAGUGAAACAGUCUCACUGUCGGGCCCUGUUUUUUUUUUUUUUUUUUAAUACCAGAUGACAUGCUCGGUUUUCCUGCUUGACUUCCUGUCUAGAACAAUCUUCUCUGUGUGGAUUGACGCGUGUUGGAAGCGUAGAGCAGCAAAAAUAGACUUGUUGCGUAUCUUUAGCAUUGCUGCUCUUGAUACGAUGCUGCCAUGCUCCAAAUACGCAUCCUUUAUGUUUUAGCCUUUACAUAUACAGUAACUUACAAACUUCGGCUUCAACAUCUGAAAAAUAGAGGUGCACCAGUCCUGAUCCUGGUAUCUUGUGUCAACUACUUACUGAUCCUGGCCUUACUAAACUGUGUCUACACAUGGAUGAAAUAUGAAGUGGAAGAUCAAAAAGCACCUUUUCUGGGUGUCUUCAAUAUAUUGUUGUAUUUUUUUAAAGUCCUUGUUGACGAUCUGAGAAGCAAUUGAAAAAAACUGAGCCGUUGAGGCAGAUUUGAAAAGAAGCGUCCCAUCCCCCCACACACAAACCUCUCCCCUCUGUGCUCCACGAUAACUCUAUAACGAUAAUAAAUCCUACGCUAGCUUCAAAUAGGAUUCACUAUGUCGGAUUGUUAGUGACUAGCGGCAGUAAACGCCAGCUCUUAUAGCGAGCGCCGUCUGCAGCUGUCUAGACAGCUACUGUGUUGACAUUGCAGAGACUAAAAAGAGUUAUUUAUGUAACGUGCCAUGAUAAAAUGACCUGUUCAACAUAAACUCUGCUUUCUCAGCGUCUGUUUUCAGGACCAAAUCCUGGCAUAGCUUUCUUCACCGCUCCAAGGAUGACCCGAUGUUUAUUUCAGUUUGAUUCCUCACUUGGUCACAUUUCCUCUCCGACUCCACCCUUUCUUCUGUUGGCUUGUAUUUUCUUGCCACUUUUGGCAGUGGGGAGAGCAGAAGUGGUUUUUUUUUUCAUCCCUCUCCAUCACAGCUCCUGUAGCUAAGCUGCUACGCUACUUUUAGCCACUCAGAGCUCCGAUGAGGGCUGGGAGGAGAAUUUUUUUUUUUUUUGUAGGACGGUAGGGGAAAGUCCUGCCUUCUUCGCCUCUGAUUUGCUAGAAAAGCUGGAAACAUCAUCACACGCUCAAGCCAGACGCGGGCUGUUGGCUCUGUACAUCGAACAGAACAUUACAGAACAUUAUCGCAAUUCUGAAUCUCCUAACCAGACAGACGAUGACGUUUCACAGCCAUUAGGAAUAACCAAUCGGAGCCCAGCACUUCUAGCCAAUCAGAGACGAAGGAGGGACCUUCCCCUACCAUCCUACAAAAAAAAAAAAUAUUGCUGCCGGGAGAGUGGGAGGGGACGAGUCGGAACUACAGGAGAGGGGUGUGUCAAAUACAGCAAGGUGAUUGGUUGGAGAGGCAGAGCAGGAGAUUGACCAAUAGGAGCUGUCUGGGAUGAAUGGCUCCCAUUGGUCAAUGUUUUUGCAGCCCUGCACCUGAUAGGGUGAACGGAUUUUUUCCAUUCUUUUUUCUCUUCACUUUGUGGAGAUCGCACCAUAGGACCAUGAUCAACAUAAAAACAAGGUUCAUAAUAACUGCCAAUCUUUACAAUCAUCAACUAUGCCUUUAAGUCCAGUUUCAGUCAGACUAAUACAACAUGUCACCACUCUGACUGUGUGUAAACAGCUGUUGCUCAGUGCAGUUUGCAGUGCAUUAAACUCUUUGCAUGUACUUCAUGAAUCAGAUUGCAUCUUCGGUUAAACAGCUCUGCAGAAUUACUGAUUUUACACGAUGAUUAUGAACUUCAUCUCAACUUGUGGUUCACAUGCGGACUGAACCGUGGGCGGCGAUCAGUUACAUCAGCAACAGAAAAAUGCUUGUAAAUAUGCAGAUUUUUGGGGCGCAGUCAAACUUGAAUCCACUCGAGUCUGAUCAUUUCUGGAUCUUUCUGCAGGCCCCGUAAACCUGAUAAAGAAAAGACCAGAUUUUACAUGAUCCAGUUUAAGUCCAGUGAUCAGCCCCUGACUGACCUCAGGGGUCACCCUGACAUCUUGAUUCCUGUACUUUAACUGAUGAUUAAGAUUAUAGCGGCGUAUAAUUAAUCGGGCUGAAAUACUCGGAGGGAGUCGGUUACAGAAUAUUUCCCAUGGAUGCUCCGUCUGCAGAGACUUAAAGGAGCUGAAUAUAAAACACGGAUCACAUAUUUGAUCCCCGGGUUCCUGCUGAUGAAUCAUUAAUGCUGAGGUGCAGGGUUCGAGCUCAGGGUCCCGCUGCCUCUGAACCCUCUGAAUACUUUAUGUUCACGGGUUCAUUAUUCAGGGAGGUCACCAUGUUAGCACUCUAUUUAUCUCCCUCUCUAACCUUAAACUGUUCCCUUCGUUUGUGUGACACACACACACACACACACACACACACACACACACACACACACACACACACACACACACACACACACACACACACACACACACACACACACACACUUUCUCCUCAGACAGUAUUCAGGUUGCAAAUUCAACUUUUCCACUUUGCAGGAAACUUUUAUUGAGCACUUUGCGCAUAUUAACACCUUAAAUCAUUAUUAUGCCCACUCAUCCUGCUUUCAUUAACUCUGUCUCAUAAAGAGCCAGGAGAAGAUGCAAUGACAAGGAGACAAUGAGCGGUGUCUACGUCGUGAGCGAGCAAGCGAGGGAGAAAGUAUAAAAUCAGAAUUUAAUAAUCUCUGUUUAAUAUUAAUGUAUAUUCUGCAGUUUAGGGACACCUACAAACACAUUUAUGGGGAGAUAGAACCAAAUCGGAUGUUUUCUGAAAUCUGCUGGCUCCUUCAUGAUAAAUUCCCCCAUGUGUUUGAGGCAAAGUGUUCUUGUGUUCUUAUCAAAGCGGGGACACGUCACCUUCCUGUUUAAACGUCUCUUAUCACGGCGGCUCACCGCAGCAGCUGCUGUGGUGUGUUAGUGUGAUGAAUGUGCAGUUAUUACAGCCUGAUGUAUUACAGACUCCCUCUGUUGUUUUUGCAGCGCAUGUGAGUUUUUAUUCAUAAUUUGUCACACGAGAGGAAAGUAGAGGUGACAUGCGAGCGACCAUUUCAGCUCAGUGGAUUCAGAUUUGGAGGUCUGAACAUGCGUCAAAACUCGUCAGAUUUUGAAGACGUGUCAGGCCUGGUGAAAUCACAGCGCCCCCUUCAGUUUAAGCCCUGAUCAUGUCCUGCCAGCAUUAGACAUGAAACAGGAAGUUAAUUCAACUCCAAUACAAACGUCAAUCACUUUGAUAGUUCAUAAUCAUGGUUAAGGUCCACCCCUAAACACCUCUACGUACGUGCCCAUUACUCUGUUACAGUCAUAGCGCCACCCUGUGAAAAUACACGGCACUGACUCACUGAUUCAUAUAAAUUUUUGACAUAGUAAUAGUGCCACUUGCAGGACAGAAGCAGUAUUAACUCACAUAUAUGCUGUCUUAAAGGUAAAACUAAUUAGCAGAACAGACUUGAUCACUACGACAACGGUAUAAUCACAUGGAUAUGAAAGUCAUGUUGUUUUUGGUAACCCUUACUCCCAAUUUUCACUGCAUCCGAAACGGCUCCAAUCUGGAAUGGCAGCGAUUUUUGCCGUCCAUCAAUUCCUACCGGAUCCGUUUGUGAGGCGAAUUUUUGUGGCAGAUUACGGACAGCGGUAAUCCCAAGAACUCACUAAGCCCACAGAUUCACAUUCAAUCGCGCGAUAACAAGUUGUCUCUAUAAAGACUGACACAUAGACAUAUAAGGAGUAGAUUGUGUUCUUCCAGAGGAGGAAAUCUACCUCUAGACUUCUAGAAUCAGCAUCUCCUCAUCCAUGGUGUCAUCGGGGUGAAAUGAUGUCUAAAAACCUUUCACUUGUUCAUUUCCGCCCAUUUGCAUGGUGUGAAAUACGAUCCUACGAGUGUUUUAUUUUGAAAAGAAGCCGGAUGUUUUAUUUUGGGUCUGUGCCCGACUUCCUUUCCAGCACAGGUUAAUCCAUGCUGAAUUUUUCCGGCAUGCUCCAGCAUCCAGAAAAAAUAGAAUUCCUGCGAUCAGCUGUGGAGUCCGGCAAUCUGCAGAGGAACGGAAAGAAGUCAGUGGAAAUUGACACGUUAACUUGAAUUUUUACGAUCAGCGACAAUCAGCAGAUACGACCUUUUCGUAUUCGUUCUGGAUGUGGUGGAAAUUGGGGUUUAUUUCAGCAUAGUCCCUUUUUACGUGGCUGCUAUAUUGCACCGUCACGUUUCUAUGGUAGCUCAGAAUGGACAAACAGUUAGCAUGCACCUUUUAGUAUUUAGUGUGAAGAAGAAGAGCGGUUGUUGUGCACCAAAUGAUUUGGAUUAAUUGACAUUUUAAUAUUAAAAACUUGACAAAUAAAGGAUCCUAGUUAUUGUUCAUCACGGGAGCUUUUGGUCCUCAAAGGCCACCAUCAUUUCACUGAGUGGAGGGGUAAGCAAAGGAGCUUGUCAGUGCAGAUGAUAGAUAUUAAAUAAUUAUCCCAUUUCUACACACUGUACCUUUAAAAGGUGGGGUAGUCAGGAUCUGAAGAAGUUCCAGUUUUUGAGAGAAAUCUUGAAUGUAAACUCUACCCCUGCCAACCAGUUUUCCCCUCAGCUCCUCCUCUCCCCUCCCUCUCUGCUCUAGCAAGCCCCGCCCACAAACAGACGCUCCUGCUCGCUCAUAUCGUUCCAAUUAAAUUCAGAUAUCGUGCAGAUAAAUACUUUAGAUAAUUACGAAUGGGGCCAAGUCAAGGUGAAAGUAAAAAGCAUUGGUGCUACUGUAGAUGCCAACAGACUACCAGCAAACACAAUGUUUUCAGGACUUCUACAACUAGGAUAAAGUGACAUAGUCCAGGACCCGAGGUCAACAGUUUAGCGGCGCUACAACACGCUACAGCAGGUCCCAUUUGACAAGAAACACUUCUGUUACAGACACUUGGCUUACUUUGUUAAAGCGGUUUACCUGUCCAGCAGAAAGGUUACAGGGUCACCAAGAUCCCGAAGCGUCCCCCAUCAUUUAUGUUGACCCGGCUUCUUAGCUCUUGUCCGGUCUACCUCCUUUUUAAGCGUCGUUAUUCCUCCAGAGUCUCCAGUAUUUACUUCGUUUUCUUGCUUGUGUUUGCAGUCGUGGCUAAAGGAGGACACAGACAAUUUUUCCGAACUUUCUGGUCAUUCUACUGUCCGAUAUUGUAGCACGCUAACUUUGUUUGGGCUCCUGAACGACACGGGGAAGCAGCAUCUGCCUCACAACCAAUCAGGUCAGGGAGGUAGAGAACGGCUUUAUCUACAGUCAGAUAGAGCAGACCACUCAAAAAUGUAAAAUGUCGACUACACAGACAUGAGAGAACACAGCAAUAUUGUUAUAUUACCAAAUGUCAUCAAUAACUAAUAACUAUUGACUGAUAUUAAAAGAUUUUUUGUUUAUACAACACAAAAAAGAUGCUUCUUUUACAGAUUCCUGCCUACCCCACCUUUAACUGACUGGAGGGGUGAGCACCGGAGCUCGUCGAUGUAGAUUCUAGAUAUUAAAUAGUUAUCCCAUUUCUACACACUGUACCUUCAAAAUAUGUCAUCAUUAAUCAUGUAUUCAUCGACACUGGUCGGAGCUGUAGCAGCUAAGCUAACUCACUUUUACGCUGUAUUCAAUAACAUCAUCAGACGUUUGUCGUCGUUCUGACAGUGCGUUUAAACCAGUAGGAGGUUUUUUCAUUCACUGUCUUUGGGUUCUGGUUUUUACAGUCAUGUGCACAGAUGGCUGCCAAGUAUCAUCUGGAACGAACUCUUUUAAACCACAGGAGUGAAAAAAUGAGAGCCAGGCCUGAUGGAUAAACACUGAAGAAAGUUGGCAGAGAGAAAAGAAGGACGAUUGUCGGAUCUGUCUGUGUGUCUCAUUUUCUCCUGUAUUGAACAGACGAUGAUGAUCUAAGAGGGUUAAUUAUCCGUGAAAUUACACAACAUAAGCAUCAGAUGAGUGAAAAUAUGGGCUGCUGUUUUAAUUAUGAGGAUCUUGUCUUGAUGCAUUUUUCUCCUUAUCUUUGCAAACAGGAUUUUUGAGAGUGAUUUGGUUCAGCAGGGAUCUGCAGCACAGUUUUUCUGCCAUUUCCUGACUCUUACAUACAAUAAUCACACAAACAGGACAUUAUAUUCAUAAUUUAUGCAUGAUUAUUAUCUCAAAUGGAACAAACCCCGUCCUGUACACCAUCAGCUGUUGGUUCUGGGCUCCACAUAUGACCACUAAAGGGCUUCCCGGGCUCUGAGCCGUCACCCAGACCUCGCUGAGCUGCAGCUGCUCAGUUUGAAGCAGGCCAACGGUUCAGCAGUGAAAAUGAUUUUAUCUGCUGACUGUUUAGAGUCCAACCUGGCCCAGGUAUCGCUCACUCAGCUCCUGCUUUAUGAGCCCAUCUGUCUCUAUCCUGAAUGAGGAUAAAGGUAAGUGAAGAGGAUGAAAAAUGAGCCACAGGUUCUUCUUCCUGUGUUUGGAGAACGAGAGUCUGCAAAAAAAAAACACACCGAGCAUUCAAGAUGUUAGAGAAGAGCAUGAUGGGAUCUAUCUUUCUGCUGCUGCUGAUGAUGAUCUUGUUGGCCUUUGUAGCUCAUAAAGAGAUGUCAAUAUUAUUUCAGUUUCAUUAGAGGAACUUGACUGUACCAAACAUGGAUGUCUGUUUGAAUUCACAAAGAAAUACUCAUACAUUUGUUACUCCUAAAAACGCAAGCAUACAGCGCCCACCAGAUCCAAUCCACCACCUCAAGCGGAAGGGAACUGCUUGCGAUGCUACAGAUAUUUCUCGCGAGACUGGACAAGAUCUCACAGGUUUCACAGUGAGACAUUGAAUGAGACUAGCGGUAGUGUUGUUUCGUUCAUGAACGUUUCUUUCAAAAGAACAGAACUGCUGAGUGAACGACGUGAAUGGAAUCACUCCAAGUCCUGAUUCGUUCCUUUCUCAGUUUAGUUGAGCUCAGCCGUGAGCCUGGCAUGUCGGUCAGGAGUGGAACUGCCGGCUUUGACUCUUUGGCGAACGACACACAGCCAGCCAGCCAGUUAGCGAGCAGGCGGAGUCUUAUAAUUUGAUUUGAUGCAGGCAGAGGAGGGAGGGGUGUAGCAUCGUUCACUUCCUGCCGAGCAGCGGUUGGUUGACUGAGGCUAAGAUAAAACAGAUCAUUAUAGUGCCUUUACAUUAAUACAUGUGUAUUAACGUUCCUGUGAGAAGGAUUUAAUUUCAGUUGAUUUAAAGAAAUACAAUAUUUGAUAUCUUUAAAAGUAUCAGAAUUCCUGCUACAGCUGACAUGUUUAUUUAUUUAUUUAUUUUUAAUCUCUCCACUUUUCCGCGAUAUUAAAGAACAAUGACUUGCACUUGUUUAGCGGCGUGCUGCUCGCUGUUGUGUUGUUUCUGCCGACAGCGACACACAGAGAGGUGAGAUUUGCCUCUCACCUCUGCGCCGCACUGAAUCGAUGCUGCGGCAUCCGGCAAAAAUAGAAGCCUUGCGUAUCUGAUUGGACCAUAAGUUGCUUAUCAAACCAUUAACCUAAAAGUUAGGAUAAAACCUUUAAAAACAUUUGAAAGAGUUUUAUUGCUUAAAAACAUCUGAAGGAACGUCUACAUCUAAUGAGGUGAAUGUCCAAAAGGUGAGUCACAUGACCAGGUCUAAAAAAAACAUUCAGAGAGGCUGAGUCCAGAUCUUCAGGACAUUAAAAACAGACAGGACUCUGGAGUAGAGCUGCAGCUAUCGAAUAUUUUAGUAAUCAAGUAUUCUAUCGAAUUUUCUAUCGAUUACUCGAGUAAUUGGAUCCAAACGGCAGACUCACAUUAAGUUAGAUUUCCUAUAGCCCCGCAAUGAAGGCCAGACUCGGAAGAGUAGAGGACAAUCGCAGAACAAGCAUAUGCGUUAGCGGAUUGCAAUGCUCGUAAGAAAGCUAAAUAUGAUAUUAACUUUCAUCAUGCCCCCAAAGACACGUGUGUGUCCAAGAGCUGAAUAGCUCCAAUGUUACCUGAUUCUGCUAUGACACCAGCAAUGUUAGGCUGCAAGCUAGCGUGAAGAGAAGUGUGCUGAGCAGCGCUGUCCCCACCCACGACUCAGAGGCCAAGUGCUAAUGAGCUACUAGAGCUCUGCACAAGAAAACAGUGUUGCCAACUUCUCAGUGAGGAAAGUCGCUAGUGGCUGUUGUAAAAAUAGCUAGAAGUUGCAUGACGCCAUCGCCUAAUUUGCAUAAUUUCUCAGUCGAACUCACUACCCCCCUUCUCCCCACCUUCCCCCAGCCGGUUAGAAGCAGGAGGAGAAGUCUUUUUCGGGGUGUCUGUCUGUGUCUGUGUUUUAGAAGAGUAAUAAUGAUACCUGCUUUCAUGUUAGAGUCUCUAAAUUCCAGAAAAAGUUGCUAGAUUUGUAGCUAGGUGCUUUUUGAAAAUAAUUCACCAGGGGGGUCUAAAAAGUCGCUAAAGUCGCUAGGCUGGCAACACUGCAAGAAAAGCCCCUCUCAUCAUUUAUUUUUCCUGCUCCGCAAAACCAAAACAGCUCUUACUCCUCCUUCUACCAUAAUGAUGUAAGCGCAUUGUGUCACCUUCAAAAGAAUCAGUGCGAAACAGUGACGAUUUGAGCUUAUAAACGAGAACUCAAGGCAGAGAAAAUUCCUUGAUCAUUAUUUGUAAUUGAGGUACACGAGAUAUUGGAGACAUCGUUUCAGCCCUACUCUGGAGUAGGAAUCACUGCAUAGAAAGGACAACUGGACUUACUUGAGACCUUUCACCUAACGAAUGAAGAAUCAGAAAUCAUAGAUGCCGCAUCCUCAGUUUUGUUGCUGGCAUCAAAUUAAACAAUUAAAAUUUUCUGGUUCAACAUUAUAUUUAUACAAAAUCCACCUUUAGGAGAAACUUUGAUUCUAUUUCUCUCAAACUUUUGCAAGUAGGUGAGUCAACCUGCUGUUUAUUAAUAAUUACCUGCAAAAAACUUUCAAUACAUCAUUCUUAUUCCUCAGACUGGAGUUUCUAAAAGCAUCCAGAGUUUCUAAAAGAAUCUGUACUUUAGGUGACUCCAUCUGUGGGUGAAAACCAGGAUAAAUUCUCCUUGUUAGGAAACCUGGUGGAUCCUGAGUCCUACUUUUACUUGAUUAAAGAGAUGGAGGAAAGUUAUCCCCACAAAACAAGUGAGAUAUUUUAGUCUGUCAGUCUGUUCUUCUGAGAAUGUCAUCAUCUGAGUCUUAUCUGAAAACACCCAGAAAUAUUUUCUCCUCGUUCGUAUUUGCGAGUCGACAAAGAGAAGCAAGAGCUCAGGCAGGAUUAUUAUCCAAACAUCAGACAAAGUCUACCCAGCUGAUUAAAACUGUGAGGAGAGUAAAGGUGAUCGUACGUCUUCUUUUAUUCGGACAUGUCCUCCUUUUGGAGGACACCCCCAAGGACACAAUCUACUGCUUAUAUGUCUAUGUGGCUGUCUUUAUAGGGACAACUCAAUAUCGCGCAAUUGAAUGUGAAUCCGCAGGUUCUUGUGAGUUCUUGUGAUUCCUGCUGUCCGUAAUCCACCACGAAAUUCGACUCACAAACGGAUCCUGUAGGAAUUGGUGGACAGCGAAAACCAUUGCCGUUCCGAAUCAGAGCCGUUCUGGAUGCAGUAAAAAUUGGGGGUCACAUUGCCGGUGUAGUAGAAGUAGCAGGUAACAUAGGAGCUAUUCAGCUCUCAGACACUGAUGUGUUUGGGGACAUGAUGAAAUCUAAUAUCAUAAUUUGCUUUCUUACAAGAAUUGCAAUUCACUAACGCACACGCUCAUUCCGCGGUUGUCCUCUCUACUUCUCCGAGUCUCUGGGGGCAGAGCUUGGAUUUGCUACGUAGGAAAUCUCACUGUGUCUGAUACUACCGUUUGGGUCUGUUAGAGAUUCACAAAUAUUUGAAUGCAGAAAUACCCAGAAAUGCGAUUUCACAUUUAGUUUUCUCAUGAUAUGUCCUGAAGCAUCAGAAAAAUGAACAUGUAGACAAGAAGAACAACAUGAUUUCCACUGGAGUGGGUCUUUAAGUUCUAUUUGUAAACUGUUCAUAAGUUUUGCAUUUUUAACAGAGAAGAUUAUCAAAGGUUUGAGUUCAAGUCAAAGGGCGUGGUCGUAGUGAGCCCCUAAACUCAGGGUGUUUAACUCAGACAUUCAGACUCCGAUCUGAACCGAACUCACCUCGUAUAUUAGUGACCAGACAUGAACACGUUUAUGUAUUAGUCUGUUUACAUGUAUGGACUCUUGAAUAAUCCUGCUAUUGUUAACACAUUCAUCAAACUGAGAAGAGGCCGGACUAUAAAAACAUUCAACAUAAAGUUUGAGGUUGAAACUUUUUAAUUUUAUCCACAAUUUUCACAGUCUGGAAAACAGAAAACCUCUUGGACAUCUAAUAUUUCUAUUAGCACACUGUAAACAGAGUCCUUUACUGAACUCUUUAUUUAGUUUGUUUUCAUUAGCUGCUGUGCUCACUCUGUUUACUUUAUCUCUAUGGUAUACAGACACUUCUCUUUGUUUAGAGUUCGAUCAGGUUACUCUGAGGUUUUAAAUGUCUUGUUUUCACACGCUUUAGUUUCUUCACCUGUCUUCUGGGUUCUUCUGUCGUUUGUUUCCUCUCAGGGUUUUGUUUUCUUAUGUCAACUGUCAAAGCACUUGUUUUAUAUCUACUUCACUUGGUCGACAGAAUUAUUACGGACCUUUUUUUCCAAUAUUUUUGGACUUUUUGAUGAAGUUUUGAAGUUUGAAAGCAUAAGCUAUUGAGACUCUUCACCGGCAUCUAAUUUUCCUUGAAACAAAAUCAAGGAUGAGUCAAAUUUCAGCGGAAGAUUAUGAUAAUUAAACAUCUUUGGUGAUUUUAAGUUAAGAUUGACAAACUGAUUUAUCGUUUAAGAGCCUCCACAAGCAGAUUUAUGUACCUUUACCCAGAGAUAGGAGGUGUCACACUGAAUAAUAAAUAAAUAUUUAUAACCUUUCUGUUUGUUGGGGUUCAGCUGAGUCAUGGCUUCAAGAAUAGGUACAGUUUUCAUCAGAAUAUCAAUGUGUCUGCUUUGUGAAAGGAGCAUUUUAGAGGGAAAUCUGAAAAUUUGGACAAAUAUAUAGAAUAUAUUCAAGUAUUCAGGUCGGCCUUUCCCUUGGAGAAUAAAAAAAAACUAUUCUCAUGGAAAUUUUUCAUACCUUUGUGAUGUCUCAGAAAACAGCUGCAAUUUUUGACCUGAGUGGCAACACACACUUUAAAACUUAAGUGAUCCAGAGAUUCAUUUAUCUGGAGUCUCGAAUACUAGAAUGAAUGAAUUUCCUAUCAGGGAUCAAUCAAGUUCUUCUUUCUUUCUUUCUUUUUUACUAUUUACAGAAGAAUUAAACAGUCUAAUGGCUUUGGGUAAGUGAGAGGAACCGUCCACCACCAUUGGUCUAUCAUGGUGUCAUGAAGUAGAUGAUCCAUGUUCUUCAGAAUAACCUCAGUGAGCAUCUCUCCACCACAUCCUCCAACCCCAGAGCCAGCUUUUCUCACCAGUUUGUCCAGACGACGGUGGUUUGAUGGUCGUUUACUUACAAUCUAAACUCGAAUAUUUAUCUGAAUCUGGAGAGGUCUAAGUUAGCAGGACACAAAUAAUAAAGUAUGUCAUUUACAGUCACAACAGCCUCCAUAACAAAUCUUAUUCCCAGCACCCACUACUUCGUAAAAGAGCUGAUCUAUUGGAUUCUAUUCAGCAUGGUCAGCUAACAACAAAACUAUGACUAUUUUACCAAAAUUAAUUCAUAAAUCAUCACAGGUUUCCUUUAGUUCAGGGGUCAGAGUCUCAGAAAGUCUCAGAGUUAACCCCAGACAAGUUGUCGGCCCUUACAAAGCGAUUGGGUUUUACAGAAAGCUGCUAAAUGAUGCAGUUUCAUGUUUUUCCUGAUAUUUGAUAUAUUAAGGUUAAAAUCUUUCACAGAUUAGCAUCAUUAAGGUUGUUACACUCCGUGAGGUUUUUCUUAAAACCUCAUGAAGUCAACGCAACCUUCCACACUGGCUACAAACUUCCGCAGAGUGAAAAAGCAACUGUACUUUUUUGGCCCUGUAGUGAAUUUUGCCAACAUUCGCAGGCGAACUUCUAGACCUCUGGCCAAUCAAAAUGCAAGCCGUUGCUCUGGAUCAAUCGGCUCUCUGUAAUUUGUUCAAUCCUUCUGCAAACUUGGAGUCAGCUGAUGGAGCAGGUCUUGACAUUGUCCGAAGUACUGUCGUAAUUUCUCGGGAAACAAUUUGAGCUCCUGGUUUGUGCAGAACUCCCCCAUUUUCUGUCGCAGAGUCAGUGGUCAUUACACACCGGCGAAUUACCGAAGGGACUUGAAAAAGCGAAAUAUUAGGCUUGCGCCUUUUCCUUUACACACCUGGUGCAACGCAAAUAGAAUUAGCAUAUUCGCUAGAAAAUAUGGUCUGUGGCGCAUAUUCACUAUGGGAGAAGAGUGGGGGGAAAGAGAAGCAGGGGAAACAGGGGCAACUACAGCCUCAAGUGAGGAUGACCCGGUGAUAAAAAGAAAAAGAAGAAUCGACGUGUCUAAGUACAUCAGGGAUGUGCACAUACUGUGAUUGAAGGUGGGGCAGGCAGGAAUCCCUUAAAGAAGCAUCUUUUUUUGUGGUGUAUUUACAAAAAAACUUUAAAUAUCAGUCAAUAGUUAUUAGUUAUUGAUGACAUCAUAUAAUGAUAUCUCUGUGUUUUCUUAUGACUGUGUAGUCAACAUUUAACAGCGGCCCGCUCUUUCUGACUGUAAACAAAGGUGUUCUCUGCCUCCCCCAACCUGAUUGGUUGUGAGGUGGACAUUGCUCCCUCGUGAUGUGAGGCACACUCCACAUCCUUGAAUAACAUUCACGAGCCCAUACAAAGUUAGCGUGCUACAAUAUCGGACAGUAGAAACCAACCAGAAAGUUCGGAAAAUUGUCUGAAUCCUCCUUUGGCCACGACUGCCAACACAAACAAAAAAACGAAGUAAAUACUGGAGACUCUGGCGGAAUAACGGGCGCUUAAAAAGAGCUAAAAGCUGGGUCAACAUAAACGAUAGGGGGACGCUUGGGGAUCUUGGUGACCCUGUAACCUUUCUGCUGGACAGGUAAACCGCUUUAACAAAGUAAGCCAAGUGUCUGUAACAGAAGUGUUUCUUAUCAAACGGGACCUGCUGCGUGUUGUAGCGCCGCUAAACUGUUGACCUCAGGUCCUGGACUAUGUCACUUUAUCCUAGUUGUAGAAGUCCUGCAAACAUUGUGUUUGCUGGUAGUCUGUUGGCAUCUACAGUAGCACCAAUGCGUUUUACUUUCACGUUGACUGGGCCCCAUUUGUAAUUAUCUGAAGUUUUUAUCUGCAUUAUAUCUGAAUUUAAUUGGAACGAUACGUGCGAGGAUGAGCAUCUGUUUGUGGGCGGGGCUUGCUGGAGCAGAGCGGGAGGGAAGGGGAGGAGCUGAGGGGAAAACUGGUUGGGAGGGGUAGAGUUUGCAUUCAAGAUUUCUCCAAAAAACUGGAACUUCCUCAGAUCCUGACUACCCCACCUCUGAGCGGUCUGAUUUAUUAAUAUGUUGAACAAUAGUAUAAUUAUUUAUAUAAUGCAGGAAGCAGGAAGACACUGCAGCAGCUCAACUAUGGCGUCCAGGAAGCACACCACUAAAAACAUUAAUUUUUCGCUCCAAUCCUAAGAAAUCUUUAGACUUUUUGGGGUUUAAUCGGAAAAGCAUAAUUUCAAAUUUAGUCUGUUUUCCUCGGUCUCCAGAGGAUGGUCCUAAAUUAGCAACAACCUGACUCUAGUUAACAUGUUUUGAAGAAGAUCUAAUUUUACAUAUUUGCUCUAUGUUUAAAAACUGUUUAAUAAUGUAGUAAUACUUGGAUAGAUCCGCAUGACAUGACUGAAGAUUUCUACAGAUCUUCAUGGUCCCAAGAGGAUGAACCAUGGUCAGUCUGCAGAUCUCUUGACUUUUUCCUCCUGAUAACUGACUUUCAGUUUUAGUGAAAAUAUCUCAGCAACAAUAAAAAUCCCUGAAAUUAAGUGUAUGCAUUCUUGGUCUGGGGAGGAUACACCCAACUGACUUUGGCUUGUCAUCGAGCAGCGAACGCAGUUUAACCACUCCCCUUUAUUUAAGAAAUGUAUCUUCUUAUGAACAGUUUAUCUGUUAGUAGGUAUAAUAUCAGAAGAGUUGAACUGUUCAAAACCAUUUUACUCCCUAUAAUACAGUUUAUCAGGGUUUUACUGCAGCAUUCAGUGUGUUCAUGCUCCAUAUUUUUCUAUACUUUUAUAUUCAUUAUAUUUGUCUCUACCUCAUGUUCUUGUACUCUCAUCUUCAUAAAAUCGUUAUGCGGUGAGGCGCUGACUUAUUUUAUUGCUCUUUUUAUGAAUUUUGUAUGAACAUUGUUUGGAGGAGCAUAAACUGACUUUUACUGCCGUUUGAGUCGCACAGUUUGUGGAAAUGUGGCUCCAUUAAAAUCUGUCGAAUCGAGUCUCAGCUGUUUCUGUUUGCAACGUUAAAGCAGUGUUGCUCUCGCUCUGUCGAAUCUUUGAAGAGAUUUGUAAAAGGUGUGUGUUAUGAGUGUGUUGAAGUGUCUGUCACAGUCUGAAAACUCUUGAAACUAACCCUAAAAGUCUGGAUUUAAAGUGCAGAUUUUGGUGCAUUUCUUUAUUUUUUUGCCCACUAAUUCAGCAGAGAAAAGACGGUAACUACCCUCUGUGAAAGAAAACGACUUUGAUCAACAACCGGGGUGAUUACUGAUCAAUAAAAUGAGAUCAAAGUUUGCUCUGAGACGCUGCCUGCAAAAUAAGCAUUUACAGUUAUUAUUAUUCUGCAGUUUAAGGCCGAUUUAGCCGAGUGAAAAGACUAAUAUGAUGAUCGUGAAACAGAGCUGUGUGAAACAUUCAUCUUUUAUUAACGACAAGGAGGAACAGCGGCGGCUUUGUUGGCCACUUGAGACUUGGAACUGGAAAUCUCAAUCUUAUCAAACGCUGAUAUGACGGAAACACACAUGCACACAUCGGGACAUUUGGGCCCAGGCGCACAUAUUAUGUCACUUUAUGUCCCAUUAACAGCUAAUUAAGACGUGAAUGAUCUCCUUGAGGGGAAGUGUUCUACUUAACCGCCUUUCGAGCGGCUCCUCGUGCCACAUUAAUCUCCUUCCCCAGGGAAACUCGGAUAUUGAUCUGCUUUUUCCCAUGACAUCAAUCUCACUUUGAGGAGAUGAACAAGAUUAAAGUGAGAUGAGCAUCACAUCCUGGAAGAGAGGAGGAGGAGGUGAUGACGAACUGCGUAAUACUGUCAGAAAGAAAACAUAAAAACAACGGAAGGGCGAAACUCAUUCAUUUCUCAAACCGUAAAUACUAAAGAGUCAUCCUUUAACUUCGCCAGCUCUUCUCAGAUACCGCCACCGCUGUGCGUUUCUCAGGAUUUUAAAGCUGCUGUCAUUUUACGAGAUGGAACCAAAUACAGCCAGCGACAUAAAGCUGAUGCUCUGUCAUCUGUCUGUGUUAAAUUUGAUUAUCUGAGCCAAGAAAGUUUCAAAGGAAAUCAUUUCCCCAUUUUUAAAACAGUCAAAACUGAACACAGUUACAUCCAGGUAGUCAAGUUUUUACAGUAUUACUGCAGUAAACAUGUCCUGGAGCUACAGCUCUGGCUACUAGGGAAAACAGUGUCACUGGUAAUUCUGAAAAGUAAGGGCGAUGCUGUUGAACCAUAUAAAGGUGGUGUAGUCAGGAUCUGAGGAAGUUCCAGUUUCUAGGAGAAAUCUUGAAUGUAAACUCUACCCCUACCAACCAGUUUUCCCCUCCCUCUCUGUUCCAGCAAGCCCCGCCCACAAACAGACGCUCCUGCUCACUUGUAUCGUUCCAAUUAAAUUCAGAUAUAAUGCAGAUAAAUACUUCAGAUAAUUACAAAUGGUGCCCAGUCAACAUGAAAGUCAAAAGCAUUAGUGCUACUGUAGAUGACAACAGACUACCAGCAAACACAAUGUUUGCAGGACUUCUACAACUAGGAUAAAGUGACAUAGUCCAGGACCGGAGGUCAACAGUUUAGCGGUGCUACAACACGCUACAGCAGGUCCUGUUUGACAAGAAACACUUCUGUUACAGACACUUGGCUUACUUUGUUAAAGCGGUCCAGCAGAAAGGUCACAGGGUCACCAUGAUCCUGAGCAUCCCUCAAAUGCGGCUGUUUAGCUCUUGUCUGGUCUACCUCCAUUUUAAGCGCCUGUUAUUCCGCCAGAGUCUCCGGUAUUUACUUUGUUUUCUUGCUUGUGUUGGCAGUUGUGGCCAAAGGAGGAUUCAGACAAUUUUCUGAACUUUCUGGUUGGUUUCUGCUGUCCGAUAUUGUAGCACGCUAACUUUGUAUGGGCUCGUGAACGACACGGGGGAGCAGCGUCUGCCUCACAACCAAUCAGGAUGGGGAAGAUGGAGAAUGGCUUUGUUUACAGUUAGAAAGAGCGGGCCACUCAAAAAAUGUUUAAAUGUUAACUACAUAGACAUAAGAGAACACAGAGAUAUUGUUAUAUUACCAAAUGUCAUCAAUAACUAAUAACUAUUGACUGAUAUUAAAAGCUUUUUUGUAUAUUCACCACAAAAAAGAUGCUUCUUUAACGGAUUCCUGCCUACCCCACCUUUAAUCAGACAACACAUCGUGAAAGUUUGAUUGUUUUUGCAUUAACAAUCACUGGACAUCAGCGAUUUUACACCAGCAGGAACAACCGUCUACUUUGCCUUUUUAAUAUAGAUUUGAAAAACUGUUAUAAAAUUCAAAAUGCUGUAAUAUGAAACAGAAAGAGUCACAAGUAUUGAAAAAAUGAAGAGAAAAACAACAAUAAGAGUGUGUAGUUGUUUCCACGUGUGUGAACCUCCUCCACACCCUCAGCUGAUAUUAUACAACAGAUUCGAACAUAUGUCCAAACACAUCUAUUCACCAUAGCUCUAUUUUUACAUUCACCUGCAUGUCACUGAAAGCUUCCCGGCUUCCUGUAGACAUGAAAAGAGCUUCCACGGACGCCCUGAAGAGGCCCACUCAGAAAUGUACAGUACUCCACCAUAUUGUCAGGAGCGUGAGUCAUGUGCUUACACAACACUUAGUCCAAUAGAAGCAUUGUCAAGUACAUCUGGAUCAAAAGAGGCUGUUUUCCUGCUUUUGUAAAGGGUGUUAUUGUCAUUCUCUGCAGGCUUGAGCUGGAAGCAGCCGGGGCAGCGCUGCAGAACCAAAACCAGCUCCAUCAGAAAGAGUGGGAGGACACUCUUGUUUUCCAAAACCGAGUUUGUCAGUCUGCGUGAGUCAGUCUCUGCUGUCAUGUAACAGUUAAAAAAGCCUCUUUGUUUUAUUCCCUGGAGUGAGGCUGUGUUUACAAAGGUGAUUAACACCAAUUAAUGCUCCUGGGAGAGGACGAUGUGUAACCAGCUGUUCUAUUUUUACAGGAUUUAAAAAUACUCUCAGUUAUUGGAGACGAAAUCCAAUUGUUUCUGCAGAUAUGAUCAAACUCGGCGACACUGAUUGCUGCUGAUCGGAACUUGGCGCCAGGUCCCCACUGCUGCAUAUCAAUUUAUAUGAGUGCAUGUGUCCAUUUGCAUGAGCUAUUUACAUUAAUUUGAAUCCAUCCAGUUUGCAGCAUGCAUGAUGCGCUCCAGAUAUCCUGUGAGCACCAGAAUCUGAUUAAAGCAGACCAAAAGGUUAAUCGUGAAUGACAUCAUUGCUUGUAAGAGCGGGGGAGACGUGUAAUAAGAUUGUCUGCUGAUAUUUUACACCACAACUUAAUCCUUGAUUGUCCCUCCUUAUCCUGGUGCCCCCUCACCCCGGGCAGCUGUGGCUCUGAAAGUGAACACUGAUUAUUACAAUCAAAACAACAUGGAGUCAAGAGAGCGAGGAAAAACUAUAAAUGACAUCUUUAUACUAUUAAGUAUUGAGAAUAAACGUUUAUACAUGUGUGCUUUGUUUCUUAGACUGAUGUUGUAUUUUCAGGAAAAUCUUUGUAAUAACUAGACGGGUCGGCAUUAAUUCUUGGUCCUCAGAAGACGCUCCUUUAUUACCGUAUUUUUAUAAGGCGCACUAUGAGGCGCACUUAAAAUCCGUUUGGCUUGUUGGAGCACUGCAGCUACCGUAGCUUCCCGGAGUUAUUGAAUGAGUCAACUAAUGUUUGACUUAUCUGACUGUUUUGUUUGGUUUAAUGCACUUUAUAAUCUGGUGCGCUUUAUGUAUGAAAAUGGACGCAAAUAGACGUGUUCAUCGAUGGUGCGCCUUAUAAUCAGAUGCGCCUUAUAGUGCGAAAAAUACGGUACUUUGGAGAUCUUCCAGCUUUUCAUUGAGCACCAGAUUAAAGUCAACCUUGACCCAACCCUUAUUAAUCAACUUUACGAGGUGGACUACUGUUAAAGUCAUGGUUGACGAUUGUAGAGAUUGGUAAUUAUUAUGAACCUUGUUUCCAUGGCGAUCAUGGUCCUAUGGUGCGAUCUCCACAAAGUGAAGAGAAAACAGAAUGGAAAAAUCCGUUUACCCUAGCAGGUGCAGGGCUGCAAAAACAUUGACCAAUGGGAGCCAUCCGUCCCGGACAGCUCCUAUUGGUCAAUCUCCUGCUCCGCCUCUCCAUCCAAUUACCUCGCUGU
rnacentral:lncRNA from 1 species